rnacentral:lncRNA from 1 species
GAAGAGAUUUUGUUUCAGAAAGAACAAGUGUGGGGUGUGCGCGACCGGCCGAGCUCAAGUAAGUACUCCCCAAAGUACCCAUACAAGUUUAUGUUAUGUUAUCAGUUUCAGUAGAACAACAUGCUAGAAUAGGACUAAGGAUCUAGGAGUGAUGCCUUAUGUGCCUGCUUUAUAUGCUUCAGCUUAUGAGAGUUGCAUGUUAGAUUUGAGUAGACAGCAGUAGGAUAACAUGUUUAGGUUAUGCCUGAUAGUAUGAGCUUAGCAUUAUAUGCUAGUGAAGUUCCUGUUAUGAGGAUAGAGUUGCUUAAGAUUGUCUCUUUUUGUCCGAAUGUUGUUUGCUUUGUGCUUUGUGGGCCUUGAGUGAUGGGAGUUAGUUGUUAGGUAAAUACGUUAAAGUCACAUGUGAUCAGGGUUGAAUAAUCUCAGAGUGUUGGAUUUGACCCUAUGGUGUAGCUCUUGUUUGAGUCCUAACCGUUGUGGGGAUGAGUCCCUUACUCGAAGGAUUAUCCGAGCCUCGUUGCAUGUGAUUGUAUUCAGGUAAUAGCUAAUUGGCAUUACAAAGAGACCUUCAGCGGCUGAGGACCGGUUUGUGUGGAGUCAGAGGUUUCCUAGGGUAAGCCUAGGAUAAGAGUAGCAGAGAUCAGUAGUGGUAAAAGAGAUCUGGUGGAGUCAAGGCAGUCCUUGAGGAAGGUACGGAUAGAUGUGGAAGGUAGUAUGGGCCCGUACUACAGGAAGCAGAUGAUCCGUACCUGACUUAGGGAAGGCUAAGACAAGACCGGGGAACUUGUAAUAGAUGUGAUCCCUUUAAAGAUAUCAGUAUCACUAAUAGUUGUCUGUAUGUAUUGUAGAAUGGUGGUACUACGUCAGAGGCCAGCAGUUGGCAGUUCUAGAGAGGGAUCGGGUUUGGGAUCAGGUUCCGAGCCAGCAGAUGAGAGGCUACGCGAGUUCAUCGCGUCAGAGAUCACCAGAGGCAUCCUUGAGUCGACCCCCAUCAUUUUCGGGUCGAUAGAGGAAGGGAUAGUUGAGCUGAUGGAGGAUCGCCUCAGAGCAUUCAGGAGUGACAUGGCAUCUGGCCAGUCAGGAUCUCGCACACUGUCCUUUAAGGACUUCAGGGGCAGUGGUUCGCCGGAUUUCCAUGGGGCGAAGGACCCCAUAACUUCCAGGCGGUGGGUUGCAGACAUCGAGUCUGCACAAUUGACUAGCUUCUGCCCCGAGGGGUUGAAGGUGAGAUAUGCAGCAGGAUGUUUACGAGACCGAGCUAGAGAUUAGUGGGAGUCCGUCGGUGACUCAUUGGGAGCCUCGACUGUUGAGUCUAUGACCUGGUUGGACUUUGUUACCAGGUUUAAGGCAGAGUUUGCGCCUGCUGUUGAGCUUCAGCAGCUGGCCAGGGAAUUUGUGGAUAUGAGGCAGACGAUGGAGACUGUGGCAGAGAUCACCGCCCAGUUCUGGGAGAGGGCGUUGUUGGUGCCCCAGUACGCGGAUGAUGAGGAUAUGAGGAGGACCCGCUAUCAUGAAAUGCUACGAGCUGAUAUUCGGGAGCAUGUCAGUUUUUCAGCUUGCCCUAACCUGGACUCUAUGAUUGCCAGGGCAAGGGAGAGGGAGAUAGAUCUGGAGCACAUCCGGAAGAGGAAGGCAGAGGAGCGGCAGGUUACGGGAGGGGCUUCGGGGAAGAAGCCCAAGGGAUCAGAUGGUAGGCCGAAAGGCCAGUCGGGACUGGGCAGCUGCAGGAAAUGCGACAGGCCAAAUGAGGGGGCAUGCAGAUUGGGAUCUUCAGGUUGCUAUAAGUGCGGCAAGGCGGGGCACUUUAGCAGGGAUUGUACUGCCCCUGCCUCGUUUAUUCAGACUUCUGAGUUGCUAUGUUUCCACUGCAACCAGAGGGGCCACAAGAAGGCCAACUGCCGCCAGUUGACAGCAGCAUCAGCGCAAGUGAAGGCGCCAGCUCUAGCGACCUUGCGGAUCACUGAUGGCCGGCAGGGCAAGGCAGAGGCUCCAGUGGUGAGAAGCCGGGCAUUUCAGCUGACUACCGAGGAGGCACGCGCCGCACCCGAUGUGGUGACGGGUAUGAUUCUUUCCCUCUAUUUUAUUUUUAUGAUGUUAUGAUAUUGAUAUGUGCUCUGUGUAUAUGUGUUAGGCUCGUUCCAUGUGAACGGUAUCCCAGUUCAGGUGUUGUUUGACUCGGGUGCCACCCGAUCGUUUGUUUCUCUUGCACUUAGCAAGAGGUUUACUGAGUCUUCGGGCAUGUUGGAUUGCCCUUUAGAGGUAGAGAUUGCCGAUGAUCGAUCUGUGUGAGCGUCAGCAGUAUUCAGGGAUUGUGUCCUAAGGUUGUUUGAGAAGCGCUACUUGGUGGAUUUGGUUCCCAUUCUAUUACGUGGGAACAAGGUGAUUAUAGGCAUGGAUUGGUUGAGCCCUAAUUGGGCGGUGAUAGAUUGAGCACAGCAGCUGGUGCGGAUCAGGACCCCGAGUGGGGGAGAGUUGGUGAUUCAUGGCGAGAGGCCACAGCGUGGACCCACAGUAUGUUCAGCAGCGAGAGCUAGGCGCUACCUUCAGCAGGGUUGUGUGGGAUAUGUCGCGUAUGUUAUGGAUACCCGGGAGUCGGUUAAGGUGACGGUGAGUAAGGUUCCGGUGGUAUGAGACUACGCUGAUGUGUUCCCAGAGGAUCUUCUUGGAAUACCUCCGGAGCGACAGGUAGAGUUCAGGAUCGACCUAGUCCCUGGUGCGGCUCUGAUAGCCAAGGCACCAUAUCGAUUGGCUCCUCCCGAGGUGCAGGAUUUGCCUGCACAGCUGCAGGAGCUAUUAGACAAGGGAUUCAUUAGAUCGAGCUUUUCACCCUAGGGAGCCCCGAUUUUGUUUGUGAAGAAGAAGGACGGGUCGCAUCGGAUGUGCAUAGAUUAUCGGGAGCUGAACAAGGUAACGGCGAAGAACAGUUACCCACUCCCGAGGAUUGAUGAUCUCUUUGACCAGUUACAGGGAGCAUCUUCGUUCUCCAAGAUCGAUUUGCGUUCGGGUUAUCAUCAAAUGAGGGUCGGAGAGGAGGAUGUGCAGAAGACCGCGUUUCGGACGCGCUAUGGCCAUUAUGAGUUUGUGGUGAUGCUGUUUGGGCUCACCAAUGCCCCUGCCGUGUUCAUGGACCUCAUGAACCGCGUGUGCAAACCGAUGUUGGAUCGGUCUAUGAUCGUUUUCAUUGACGACAUCUUGGUUUAUUCCAAGAUGCAGAAGGAGCACAAGGGGCAUCUGCGAGAGGUGUUGGAGACCCUAAGGAGGGAGAGCUUAUACGCUAAGUUCUCCAAGUGUGAGUUCUGGUUGCGCGAGGUGCAGUUUCUCGGACACCUUGUCAACCAGGACGGGAUUUCAGUGGAUCCGGCCAAGGUGGAGGCCAUGAUGAGGUGGGAGGUUCCGAAGUCUCCAUCCGAGAUUCAGAGUUUCCUGGUAUUAGCAGGCUAAUAUCGGAGAUUCAUUCAGGACUUCUCCAAGAUAGCCGUACCCCUGACACGGUUGACCAAGAAAGUCGUGGUCUUUCGAUGGGGGCCUGAGUAGCAGGCAGCGUUUGAGGUUCUGAGGAAAAGAUUGUACGAGGCGCCAAUCUUACCCCUGCCAGAGGGCGUAGAGGAUUUUGUGGUAUACUGUGACGCGUCUACUUCAGGUUUGGGCGCUGUAUUGAUGCAGAGAGGGCAUGUCAUUGCUUAUGCCUCAAGGAAGCUGAAGCCUCACGAGGUGAAUUACCCGACGCAUGAUUUAGAGUUGGGGUCGGUGGUCUUCGCCCUCAAGAUUUGGCGGCAUUACCUCUAUGGGGUUCAGUGUACCAUUUACACGGACCACAAGAGCCUGAGGUAUCUCAUGGACCAGCCGAACCUGAACAUGAGGCAGCAUCGAUGGCUUGACGUGGUAAAGGAUUAUGAUUGUGAGAUCAUUUACCACCUAGGGAAGGCCAAUGUGGUGGCCGAUACGCUUAGCCGCAAGGCGGCGCCGAUCAGGGAUUUUUCCGUGCGGAUGACAGUGGUGACUCUGCUAUUGGAGCGGAUUCGGGAAGCCCAACAGGAGGCCAUGAAGGAGGAACACCGGAAGAGUGAGUGCAUAGUGGGUCAGGUUUCCUCCUUCGAUUAUGACAUCCGAGGAUUAUUGACACUACACCGUAGGGUGUGGGUGCCGUAUCACGGAGGCGUGCGCCAGGUCUUGAUGGAGGAGGCGCACAAAUCUCGAUUCUCCAUUCAUCCCGGGGAAACGAAGAUGUAUAGGGAUCUUCGUUUAGACUAUUGGUGGCCCUGCAUGAAGCGGGAUGUGGCUUGGUAUGUGGAGCGGUGUUUGACCUGCGGGAAGGUCAAGGCCGAGCAUUAGAGACCGCACGGCAAGAUGCAGCCGUUGGAUAUCCCGUUGUGGAAAUUGGAAGAUAUUACGAUGGAUUUUAUCACGAAGCUUCCCAGGACCGUGCGAGGAGUAGAUUCGAUAUGGGUCAUCCUGGAUCGAUUGACCAAGAGCGCCCAUUUUAUUCCGAUUCAGGAGAGCAUAUCGGCCGAAAAGUUGGCCGACAUCUAUAUCAGGGAGAUAGUGGCGCGGCAUGCGGUGCCAGUAUCAGUGAUUUCAGAUAGGGAUGUGCAUUUCACUUCCAGGUUUUGGAAGAAGUUUCAUGACGAGUUAGGCACUCGUCUGCAUUUUAGCACCGCCUUUCACCCGCAGACAGAUGGACAGAGUGAGCGGACCAUCCAGACUCUUGAGGAUAUGUUGCGGGCAUGCGUGCUAGACUUCGGUGGUAGUUGGGAUACCUAUCUUCCUCUAGCUGAGUUCUCAUACAACAACAACUAUCACGCGAGUAUUGACCGUCCUCCCUUCGAGAUGUUGUAUGGGAGAAGGUGCAGGACCCCUAUAUGUUGGGGCGAAGUUGUCCAGAGGGUCAUGGGGAGCACCAAAGUGGUGCUCAACACGACCGAGAGGAUUCAGUAGGUGCGGAGUAGGCUUCAGACUGCUCAGAGUCGGCAGAAAAGCUAUGCCGACAAGCGCCGAUCAGACCUGGAGUUCUGGGUCGGGGAUAUGGUUCUCCAGAAGGUGUCGCCAAGGAAGGGCGUCAUCCGAUUCAGGAAGCGGGGCAAGUUGGGCCCCAGGUACAUUGGACCCUUCAGGGUUCUAGCACAGGUGGGCAAGGUGGCGUACUGUAACAUCCCAAAAUUCAAGACUAAAAAUUUCUUUUAAUUAAACAUCACUUAAAGCAAAAUCAUCGAUUCAAAACAUAAUCAGAGUAAUAGUUUCUAAAACACAUGUUCGUUAUCAGAGUAAAACAUUCCCAAGCUGACUAAUUUAUGGUGUGUGCCAUGCGAUCACCCUGAGCUCCAUCAUCCGCUACCGGAAGUACCUGAAACCAAAACUGAAAACCAUAAGCACGAAGCUUAGUGAGUUCCCCACCCUACCACAUACCAUGCAUAACCACAUACUGCACAUACUGGGCCACGCCCGCUAUCCUGGGCCUCGCCCCCUACCUCGGGCCUCGCCCGCUACAACGGCCCCGCCGCUCCAGGCCCCGCCUGGCUUCGAGCCCCGCUCGGAUACAGAUCUGUUUCACUUAGGCCUCGCCUGUCACAGGGCCUCGCCCACUAACAUAUAAUAGCACAUAAACAUAUCACAUCACAUCACAUAAGCUAAACACAUACUAACGGAUCUUGUCCUAAGGCCUCGCCUAUCUCUGGGCCCCGCCCUUGUCCUGCUACUGAUGAGUCACGGAAACCCGUCCAUACUCCUGCUGAUGGUGAGGUACGGGCCCAGCCCAACCUCACUGCUUCCCUAACUUGGGCCCCGCCCCUGAUCUGCUGCUACUGAGAUGUGGAACACCAUCCACACUCUGCUAUUGGUGAGAUACGGGACUCGCCCACACUCACCUCCCUACCAGGCACAUACAAGUAUCACACAGACAACAAGUAUAAACUAUCACAUAAACCAUUCCUUGGGCACCCGCCCUCUAUCAUUGGACCUCGUCCCGAAUAUCAUACUAGCAUACUGUGCCUAGGGCUAACCCCCGGGUCUUCUACUCAUAACUACAUGGGCCGGCAUUGUGGUCGUAGACCCAUUCAUACGAAGGGAAACUCACCUGCACUGGCUGAACUCCCUGACGAUUUCACUGGUUGCUGACCGGCAACUCUCUAAACUCCUGCUCCACUAGCUCCCCGAGCUACCAAAAUCAAUGCAACACUUAGUCUAACUGACCCCCGACAGUCAACCAAGUCAACUCUGGUCAAAGUCAAAGUCCUGGUCAAAGUCAACCUUCCAGGUCAACCCUACUCGCCGAGUCACCCUAUUGACUCGCCGAGUUCAUAUGUUCAGAGUCCUUCUAUUCGCGACUCGACUCGCCGAGUCAGUCCAUGACUCGCCGAGUCUACCGAUUUCCGAGUCCUGACCUGUCCAACUCACCGAGUCUCCAUUCGACUCACUNUUGUCAAACUCACCGAGUCUCCAUUCGAUUCACUGAUUCGAGUUUCAACUCGAAGGGUUUGGGGUUUCGCGACCUGACUCACCGAGCCCAAGACAACCUUCAACAGACUCGUCGAGUUGUUCAUCUAACUUGCCGAGUUCUUGCCCAACUUCAUCUGACUCGACGAGUUGUUCAUCCCACUCUUCGAGUUCCUCCUCAUCUUCAUGCUACUCGCCGAGUCCACUCAAAGGACUCGUCGAGUUCAUUCAGAUCUUCAUACAUGCAAAGGACUUUUGAGUCAUGCAUGGACUCCAAACUGUACAUCUACCCUUCCCAAGCCUAUUCCUCACAUAAAGUUGCAAACUUUACGUGUAGAGAAGGAGAUCUAGGCAAAAUACACCAUACACUAGGGUUUAAGGCAAAGAGGCUCCAUAAUCAACUCAAGGGCUGAUACUUUAUGCUUUCCAAGACCAAAAUAUGCUUAGAUCUGAAGUAGCAACUCCAGAUCCGGCUUCUAACUCAAAUGGACAACUUAAUCAUGGCUUAAAAGCCCCAAAUCUCACAAUCAUAGAAGAUCUAAAGGAAAGAAGCAACUCAAUACCUUCAAUAACUCAGAAAGGUUCCAUAAACUCCAGAUCUAAGGCCAAACCUUGAAGCUUCAAUGAUUCCCCUCCUUCUUCUUCCUUCAAAUUACCCAAAAAUGACUUGGAAGCUUGAAUGCACAACAAUGGAGGCUUAGGGUUCGUAUUCUGGGUGAAAGAGGCAGUAAAGGAACCCUAGGGGAGAGAAUGAGACGUUUAAAUAGGCUCCAAGUCCCGAAUUUAGGGUUUUCCUCGCACAGACCAAACUCGCCGAGUCCCUUUGGCCGACUCGCCGAGUCGGUAGCUUACUCCUCGACUCGGAUCCCGCUCGGACUCGUCGAGUUCCUCCUUGGACUCGCCAAGUCGUCCCUUAAAAUUAGGGUUUUCUUUCCUUUCUUGGCCUUCCAGACUUUGGGUGUUACAACUCUCCCCCACUUAAACUAAACUUCGUCCUCGAAGUUUGCUAUGGCCAACCGCCUGCGAUCUGCUUCCAAUACCCACCAAUUAUCCCAACACCAGCUGCCUACCUUCGCUGCUCUUCCAACCGGUCAUUCUGACUAACAUAAUCCUCGCGGAUAAAAACCUCGGGUCAACCCUGACCCUGAACAAUUUAGAAACACAACUUACUCAACCGACAAUCCUUCUGGUACACUCCGAGCUGCACUUGAACUCAUAGGGGUUCACCCCUUCUUUCCUUACGCGAUUCCCUUCCCUUUCCAAGGCGAUGCUCCAUAACCAACUAUUUCCUCUGUCACUGUGAAGAUCCUAUCUUCACCAAUCCAUUAUUCCCGCUACUUCCAGUACGGGUCAUCACCGCCAGUAACCACUGACACUCCUCUUUUGUCAUAACUUGGUGUCGAGCACGCCUUGACUCAACUAACUGAAUUCCACCAUAAACCGCUUACCUGCACUACUACUGGCUGAAAACUCUACUAUUCCAUAUCUGCCUUCCGGAUGCAGUGAGACCACCUUGGUCCUUACCAAUCUACCAAUAUCUGGAUUACCGGCUCCCACCGGUCGCUAGACCCAACACAAAUCCUAGUCGCUCCCAGCGACUUCGAAGAAACUUCGACCACCUAUAACUGCUCAAUCUAUUCUGCCAUUUAGGCACUACAAUCCUGGGAUCCCCGAUCCCCUAUCCUGACAUUAAGGUCCCUACCAGGUCCCACCUGCGCCGUUAAAACUCACGGGUCUUGCCCACGGGUCCCACCCGCCUCUAUCCUUCUAGUCCCACUAGUCUAUUCACUCUCGCUCGGGCCNNNNNNNNNNNNNNNNNNNNNNNNNNNNNNNNNNNNNNNNNNNNNNNNNNNNNNNNNNNNNNNNNNNNNNNNNNNNNNNNNNNNNNNNNNNNNNNNNNNNNNNNNNNNNNNNNNNNNNNNNNNNNNNNNNNNNNNNNNNNNNNNNNNNNNNNNNNNNNNNNNNNNNNNNNNNNNNNCCACGGGUCUCACCCAACUAUAUCCUGGAGCGGCCUCUCCCAAGGUCUCACCUCUCUAGGGCUAUAUAGGCAAACUCCCUAUCAUUCUCAUCUACUACCCAUUCCAGAUCCCUAUCUGAUCACUAGGAGAUAAGGGCCUCUCCCCAACUCUGCUAACGAAGCUACUAAGGAAUGCUACGGCUUACCCGUAGUCUUACAUCACCAUCCAUUGCUGACUGUUAGUGAAUGCUACGGGUGCCCCGUAGUCUUACAACAUUUCUACCACUGACUGCUAAUACGAAGGCACCCAUGUGGCAUUAGCUCUCAAGAUCCUCAUUCCGACUCCCUCGAGUCCUACGGGCGAUCCAUAACCUAAAUUCCCAACCACGUACUAACCAUUACCAUCACACGCACUAGCUGAUGGGGAGUUUCUCAAACUCCCAACCCUGAAAUCCUUAAUCCAUCAAACGCUGAACCACUUCUUUUCCUUCUCGGAGGUCGCCCACUCAUUCUGGGUCUGCGUGCUCCUACCUUUGCACACUCGGAGGAUUCUCCCCCACUUCGAUCCUACUUACCCCUUAUUGCUCAAUACUCAAAAAGAAAUCCCAAUCCUUGCUACCAUUCCAUAAUCAAUAUGCUGAGGAACCCAAGCUUACCAUAGCUAGGGAUCUAACCAAUCCAUCUCUAUCACUAUACAACUCCUUUCGUAAUGCCAUAGCACAAAAGUCACAAUGAAUAUUGCCAAUGAAAUUACAAAGUUCUCUAUUUGAGAUUGUUACAAUACAAUUCCAUAGACAUGAUGUCUCUCACUCAAAGUAAUUCCUUUGAACAUCCUUUUGCAUAAAGUUUCUAAUCUAGACAUAGAUUCUCAAUAUCCAACUCCCAAUAUGGAAACAUUUCCACAUUUGCCAUAUGAAAAUUCAUUCUUAAUAGAAUCUUAUCUAUUCAUAAUAAUGUCGAUAUGGUCCAUCCAAUAUCAUACUUCCAACUACUCACAAGCGACCAAUCCUCAGCGAGCUUUGGAUUGUCCUUUGAUAGUUGUUUAAUUAUCUUAGUCAAAACCGAUUCUUGUCCUUUUUCCCUCUAAAUGCGCUAGACAUUUGGAAAAUUUUAGAAUGGUCAAAUAUUAUAGCAUUUGCAAUCGAUCCUUUACCCGAAGCGUAUGGGACAUGAUGCAUAAUGUUCUUACAUAAAGAUACGAUACUUUAUCAGUCUUUUGCCACAAUAUUUUAUGUGUCACGUUCUUAUAAUUCGAACUAUGAAGAGGGAUGCCAUAAUCACAAUUGAAAUUUGAGAACGCACUAGGUAUCCUUGACUAAAUUUAUUAACAUUCCAUAACCUAAGCCUUUAGAUUUGAAAUGAAGUAUAAUAUUCUCUCCCUUAAUUAUAGCAAAACAACUAUUCAACCUUUACAACUUUGCAAAGUGUAACUCUUGUUUUCUAUAAUUAAUAUUGCUAACUUGCAAUACUUACCAUAAUAAUCAUACAAGCACAACAUUUAUGCUCCCACUAUGAUGAUUAUUAUCACAUAAGCAUAACUCUUAUGCUCCUACUAGCUUUGACAUGUAUUUAAAAAAUAGCUUAACUUUCAGAAAACAAUACUUAUUGAAUUUCUUAAGUUCAUUUUUCUAAGUUUCUCAAAAUUAUACACCUUUUCCUUAGAUAGCUCAUACGUGUGUCUAAACAAUUCAGAUUAAUUGCCAAAUCUCACACUUCGAAUCAUGGAAAGGGAUAUCGUAACCAAAAUCGAAUUCGAGAAUACAAUUUCACAAUCACUAUCUUCUUAAAAUCUCUCUUAGUGAAAGCAUUUCCUCACAGUCAUCUUUAUGAAGGAGGAAAUCUUAUGAAACUUAGAUUUUAAUGGUGUAUGUGUUCCUAUCCACGGAAAUUUGUCAAAACCAAAGUUUUCGACAAAUCCAAACUCAUAUGGACCGAACCUUCUCAAUCUUGAUCUCUUGCCUUAUGGUAACACGACUGCCCACCAUGUCUUCCAAGUAGUUACGCAGCUCACCCUUUCUUAUCAAUGUACUUUUCAUUGAUCAAGGUGCUUGCCUUUUAUGCGUUCAAAUGAGAACUCAUAGAACUCAUAUGCAUAAUUAAUUCACUUGGAACGGCACAGGAACAAGAUAGUGUCAACACGAUAGGUCGUAAACCUCAACUCGUGUGCUAGUGAUGAUCGAUAAGGUUUAUUCUUGAUUUGUUCUUGAAACCAUUCAAGACAAUUGAGACUCCCACUGAUUCCUUGACAUAUAAGAUUCUUUUGUCAAUAACAUUUCUUGACAAACAAAUAUUCAAGAGUUAGUGUAGCUUUUAUCAAAACACUUCAUGAAAUUGGUCCUAGUUGGUCUUUGUCUUGUCCAAGACAUCACAACUUUCCACAUUCGAUGAAUGUUAUAAACCUUCUUAAGAUUUGUCACUCAAUGUCACAAUCUUAACUCUAAGACUUGUUUUGGAACGAAGUAUGAUUGACUUCUUGAUUUAACCAUUUCUUCAAUUCUUGAUUCCUCCUGUCAGACAUACAAUUGUACUAAGACUCACUUAGAGAAUCAAUUGAGAUAUUGUUCUUAAUCAUUAAGACCUAUCAUAAAACAUAAUAAAAGGUACUCUCCCCUCUACUUAGAAUAGAGAAACUUUUAUCUUUCUGUCUACUUGAUUCUUCUUAUUCGUUCUGCUAUUGACUUAAACUUUUUUAAUCAAUUCAGAAUUACAAUUAAUCUUGUAAGUAUAAUCACAUUUACUAAACUUUUAGUAAAUCAUGACGAAUAUCUUUGUUACUCUUGUGGUGGACUUAAUCAACACACAACUUUGUGUACUCGAUCUCUUAGUCCUUCACUUGACACUUUGUCAACAAAUUAGUCUAAUUUCCAAAUAUGAAAUUUCUCAUUCAUCAUGCAAUACUCGUUGUAUGAUUCCAAGUUUCUGUCCAAUUGAAACUUGGGCGAUGAGAAACUCUCCCUAUUUUGUAAUUCUUGACAUUUCCACAAAUAACAUAAUUAAGAAUCAAAUCCAUUAUUGCUAAUAAUAGAAACAUUCAAACAUCAAUUUUUCAUACAUGCCAUUGCAAGGAUAAAUAAAUAAACAAAAUCAAAUUUUAUUUUAUUGCGGAAAAAUUUGUCCUUACAAUGCAAUUCAAUUGAAAAACUAUGUUAAUACAUAUUUCUUAGCAAUCUUAUUCUAACUCCAAGUAGUAGCACAAGAUUCUAAUCUUCAAGUAAUGCGAUCGAAAUCCAUUUCUUCACGAUUAGAUUCCGCUCACUUCUUUCCUUAAGCUUCCUCUCUUUUCUUCGAUCCUAUAAGACAUCGAAAUGUAAUCUUAUCACAUCAUGUAUUAAGAAUCUAGAAUAGGAACUUAAAAGAGUUAGUUAAUGGAUUUUACUUAAAGCAGGGCCAUUCGUUUUGACUCUCCCAUCUCUUAGAUCUCUUAGGUAAAUAUGGCAGCUUCGUCUCCAAUGCCCCUUCUCUUGGCAAUAAAAGCAAAUUGACUCUUUUGGAACAGCACACGGAACUACUUCUGACUUUGCCUUUCUCUUAUGAUCAAACUUUUCGAUCAUGGCAUGCCUUUUGCUGCCAUUUCCUAUAUCCAUAGAGGUCUGGAAGGCAGAUUCACCAAUCAACUUUGCUUUUUCAGUGCACCAAAUCAUUGCUGAUCCAGCAGCAAUAAGCAUGUAGGUGAGAUCUAUAAGGGUCACGUCGUGGUUCAUUGAUGGAACAUGGACCUCCGGCGAGUUUUCUGGUCUUCUACUACGGCGGAGAUCUGCUAGUCACAAUCAGAUAGACGCGUUAGAGCCGCCCCAGGGACUGUGCCCCGGGAGCGGGCUCCGACGGUCAAGUUAGAUCAGCUAGAAGAUCUGAUAUGGUUCUCCAUAGCUGGAGAGAACCACCUUGGUGCUGGUGGCUGACGGCGGCGGGUGGCGGNNNNNNNNNNNNNNNNNNNNNNNNNNNNNNNNNNNNNNNNNNNNNNNNNNNNNNNNNNNNNNNNNNNNNNNNNNNNNNNNNNNNNNNNNNNNNNNNNNNNNNNNNNNNNNNNNNNNNNNNNNNNNNNNNNNNNNNNNNNNNNNNNNNNNNNNNNNNNNNNNNNNNNNNNNNNNNNNNNNNNNNNNNNNNNNNNNNNNNNNNNNNNNNNNNNNNNNNNNNNNNNNNNNNNNNNNNNNNNNNNNNNNNNNNNNNNNNNNNNNNNNNNNNNNNNNNNNNNNNNNNNNNNNNNNNNNNNNNNNNNNNNNNNNNNNNNNNNNNNNNNNNNNNNNNNNNNNNNNNNNNNNNNNNNNNNNNNNNNNNNNNNNNNNNNNNNNNNNNNNNNNNNNNNNNNNNNNNNNNNNNNCAGGCAAGGCUGGCAGGAGCGCGCCAGGCCAGGCUGGCGCGCUAGAGCAGUCUAGGCCACGCCAGUGGACCAUAUCUCAUAAAGUCCCCCCAUUCUGGUGUUAUUGGUACGCGGCCAAUGACAUCGGACUGGACUUAGUCAAAUAAACCAACAGGCGAGUCCCCGACAAGGUUAGCAGGAGCGCGCCAGGCCAGGCUGGCGCGCUAGAGCAGUCUGGGCCACGCCAGUGGACCAUAUCUCAUCAAGUCCCCCCAGUCUGGUGUUAUUUGUAUGCGACCAAUGACAUCGGACUGGACUUAGUCAUAUAAAUUGUGCGUCGUCAAGUCCCCCUAGUCUGAUGUGAUUGGGUUGCUGACAAUCGGAUCGGAGUAGAUAAAGCACCAAUACAAUAAAUAAUAAAGGGAAAUGACCGAACCUCGCCCACGAGAGUCGUGGGGUUGUGCGAUGAGCCAAACGCUACUUAAGCUGACUUGAUACUCGAGCCGGUCGGUGAGAUGCAACGUAACUGUUGCUGCGAUCGUGCAGACUGAGGCUGCUAAAGAGUGUUACGCGACACUGAUGUCAGUGGAAUGUCGGAUCGGGGUACCUAAGAAGUGUAAGCUUGCCAUUCAGUCCCUAAGACUGUUAUUCGACGUGAUUGUUGUGGUAGCCAUGUGAGAUGGGAUGUCACCAGUAACCAUCUACAUAGUCUGCAUUGUGGCGUACCAACCCUAUUCCCCCACCCCCCCCCCCUUUUCUUAGAGGAGGCGAGGAAUAGAUUCCGGGAGCUGGGCGACUAGGUUGCUAGCGAGGGUCACGUAGUAAGACUAUUGUCGAUAGCCAGACAACAGAACUCUUGAGGAACAGGUAGUGAGGCUAUAGGUAGGAAACAUGCUGUGAGGCUGUUUCCGAGAGCCAGGCAGUAGAGAUGUUGCAGGGUACGCGACAAGGCUACAGGUAAGGUUGCAUAGAAAGACCGUUUCCGAGAGCCAGGAAACAGAGAUGCUAUAAGGUAGUUGGUAGCAGGGCCGCUGUCGGGAUGACCUUCUUGCUGGAGAGUAACCUCACCAUAGCAGGUUGUAAUAUGGAUACCACUUCAUUGAUCGCCCGAGCACAAGAGAACCAUGAUGACUGUGAAGGAGGAAGCAUCGAGAUCAUGGUGUUAGUCAUGGAAUAAGCUUGUGAUGCGCGACUUACGGUGCGCGACAAUGGAGAGUAGGCGAGGAUGUUGAACCUCGUACACGGAGCGUGCCGCUAUAAUGGAGUCGGGCUGAGAAGCCAGGCGACUCGAGGCGAGGGUGUUGAACCUCGCAUGCGGAGCUUACCGCUAUAAUGGAGUCGGGCUGAGAAGCCAGUCGACUCAAGGCGAGGGUACUGAACCUCGCCUAAUUGGGCAUAGCACCCUACAAUCUAUGUGUCUAGCUCGUGUGACCAGUCUGAGUUAAAGCGGAAUGGUACCUAAUGCUUUGCUGCAUCGCUAUUCGUACUAAUAAAGGAUGACUCGCUGUCUUGGCUGUUUGCGGAGAGCUAUGUGGCGGUGCUACUUAGAGCUUGAUAGUGUAGCUGUCGUCAACUGGUGCGUAGCGAGACCGCCGUCAGGAACUGGCCAGCAGGGCCGUUAAGGCCCGGGCAGCGAGCUGUUAGCGAUAGGUGAGUAACACGACUAUUGAGAGUUGGGCAACAGUACUACCGAGAGUUAGACCACGCGGCUACUCUUUCCAUCCGGAAUACCAACAUCACCUCGGGGAUACACCAUCAUUCAUGGUGUCAGCUUUUUAUGUACCUCAACUCUUCCCCUUGGUAAUAAAAAUCACUUCUAUAUAGUGUCGUACCAACACUAUUCCCCCCCCCCCUUCUUAGAGGAGGCGAAGACGGAUGUAUAGCCGCUGAAAGGCGAGAUACAUAGCUAUUGGAAAGAGCUAGGCGACCUGAGUGCUAACCAAAACUGGUUGGCGCGAUUGCCGAGAGCUAGGCAGCGCGACUGCUAGUCCAACAAUGUAACUACUAAUGGCUAGGCCUUGCAGCUGCUGAGCAGGGACGCAUUGCUACUGAGAGUCAGGCUGCACAACCGCUGAGACCCAGGCAGCGCAACUGCUGAGGGCUAAGCAGCGAGACGAGCGAGGGCCGAUCAACAUGAGUUGUGAGAGUUGAGUAGCAAGACUGCCUGAAGUUGAUCAACACAACUGCUGAUAGCCGAGCGACACAAUUAUUGAGGGUUAUUUCAAAACACUUUACGAGUAGCAGUAGCGUACUACUCUUCUCCCUCCCUCUUUUUCUUGAAAAUGUCUCGAGAGUUCGAGUCGCAACGCAUUCUGUCGAGCGGAGCUUGCGGUGCGUUAGGCGGCUAAUUUUAGUCUCUGUUAAAUUGCAAUGGAUGUGUUAAAUUGCAAUGGACGAGCAUUGAGUUGUUGGUUAUCCUUGUUAAAAAUAGCCCAUAUUUUAUAUUGUUGAUGUAGCCCAAUAAUCUAUUUAGAAAUAAUCAGCCCAAUUAUUAUUUGUUGGAGCACUUGAUAGAAGUCCAUAGAAGUCCAAGGUGAAUUUUGAGAAGCCCAAAGUUAUUAUGGAGAGGCCCAAAACACAUUUACUGCAGUCAAAUAACUUGAAAUAUAGUCAUUGCAAUAUAUUCAUGACAUAUGAUAUCUUCAAGAAGCCCACAACAGAAUUAUUGUAGCCCACGCGAACAGCUCAUGUUCUUCCUUCCCUUUUCGUGUAUAUGAGCUGUAUUCGGUACAUUAAUACCACAUGUUGGGCUUUCCACUUUUUCCUUAUCAGGUUUGAAGGACCGUAGUCCAUGUGCUUCACUAUUGCAGCUCGUUGGAAAGGUCCAGAAUAGAAAAAGAUUACAAUUGGAGAUCAGAUCCCUAAAUGUGUUGGUGGCGUCAACUUGUUAGACCAAUAGGUGAAGGUGUUAGGCGGCAAGAGGCAGUUCGGUGGUGAUGACCAUUGGAGGCGCUUGAUGUAGAAGAAGAUCAGAGGUCGCUCGAUCGAAGCAGCAUCUUUUGAUAACAUGAGUCUGUUGGAUCGAAGGCUGAAGGUGGUUGGUGACUGGAGCAGAGGUCGCGAUCGGUGGGAGCCAUGGUGGUUACUCGCUAGAAUUCUGCGACGUUGAAGGGAUCAAAGCAGCGACUUGGCGGUUGUAAUGGUCUUCUAUGUUGAGUUUGAUGUUGUUGGAGGGUCAACGGGAUUACAGGGCAACAUAUUGUAAUCGGGGAUCGAAGGUUGUGGGUGGAUUGAGUAUACGGAUGUGGGUUGUCGGUGAUGAAGGUCCUCCGAUUACCGGUGAAUUGAUUUUGGAGUGCUGCUGAGUCGUUGCUAUAGUUAAUCCUUUGGCGCUUUGGUUAUGGCGACCGGCAGCAGAUCGAGAAACCAGGGGUCGCCGCUUGGUGCUGGUGGCGCUACUUUGUUUGGUUGGUAGUCGACAGGGUAUCCGCCAUCGACAAUUGUUGGUGUUGUACCUGGUCUGCCGAAAAGAAAUGCGAUAGUCCAAUUGUCGCCGGUUGGUGGCUCCGGUGAGCAGGAGACUGAUCUUGAUUUGGAGAAGGAACCAGGGCUCAACUUUGCUUUUGACUUUUUCUUAACUGUUUGUCUUUUUCCUUGUGAUGCACUGUGUGCACCCUUUCUCCUCCUUUUUUUCUUUUUUUCGGUUGAGAGAUAACAGCAAGCACAUACAUUGACUUUGUGCAGCUUUUGUGUGUGGGAUCGGACCAGGUGGGUCCCACACAAGUUUUGCAUGGUGUACACUCUAUACACAUAUACUCCCCUCUUCUUCUUUUUUUUUCUUUUACAAAGGAUGUGAAAUACAAAUCACCAUUCUUGCAACUGUGACAUAUUUAUGAGUUUUUUUGUAUACCAACUAAUGGCAAACAAUAGGGAUAAGUUUUUGGUGAUGUUCUUAACUGAUGGGUUUUGACAAACGGGAUAAACCUUCUUGUGGGUAUGAAAAGCGUACAAGAAACGUAGCUGGGUUUACAAACAUGUUGCAGAGAGUGAAGUUAUUCACCAAAAAUCUUAACUAAACACGAUUUUAUGAAAAUAUAUGGACUGAAUAUGAGUUAAAAACUAAUAGAAACUUCCCUCUUUCUUCUUCUUCUUUUUUUUCAAAUUUCUACAGAAAGCACUCAAUAAAUAGAAAUUUCUUUUCUUCUCAAACUUGCUGAACAAAACUCCAAAGUGCUAACAAAAAACGGAUUUGAGAAGUUUUCUUCUCAUAAAAACUCCAUUUUUUCAGCUUGUUCAACAAUCCAUCAAACCAUAAACAAGAAAACGGAUCUAAAGAAAUUUUGGUUUUGUUUUUCUAAACUUCUAAAGAGAAAACCAAGAAUAUGAACAAAGGUAUGGUAAGAAACUCAAUUUUUUGAAAUGUACAAACAUCCAAGCUUUGUUUAUAAACAAAUGUUGUAGGGAUGGGAUUUGCACAAAAGAUUAUGAGCUUAAAGGUUUUUCUGAGAAAUGUACAAGAAAAUCAGCCAUUCUUACAAGCACCUGUCUCAAGGAUGGAAGGUGUGGACAGAAAAUCUCUAAAUAAAAACGAUUUCCUUGUGAUAUAAGCUAAAGAAAAAAACUCAUGAAAACUUUCCUUUUCUUCUUCAUUUUCUAAAUAAGUCACUAGCAAGUGACGAAAAAUUGAUCUGAGAAUUAGAUCUACAUUUUAGAGCAAAAACUCAACAGAUCUGAAGAUCUGAACUAGAAAAACUCAACAGAUCAAUAGAUCUGAGCGAAAAAAAAUAGGCUGAUUAAAAAAUUUAUGCGAAAAGCUAAGCAGAUUAAGAACGAAAAACUCAUAAAAAUUUCUUCCCUUCAACCUACUCAAGAAACUCCCAGAAUAUGAACCAAAAAACGAUUCUAAAAAGGUUUUUGCAAACCUGGGGAGUGUUUGAGUAAAGGAAAUCAUAUAGAUCCACAGACCUGAACCAAAAACCGUGAUGGAUCUAUAGAUCUGAAAGAUUGUGAGGCUCAUUUGGACAGAUCUUAUCAAGAAACAAAAAGAUCUGAACAAAUGAGGAGAGAAACGAACAGAUCUAGGCAAACCUGAUGUGAAGCACAACAGAUCUGUUCAGAUCUGAGAGAAAAACGAGCUUGGAACCAACUGAGGCUUUUGCUACUUGCUCGAAUCCGGGAUGGCACCAAAUGAUGGAACAUGGACCUCCGACGAGUCUUCUGGUCUUCUACUGCGGCGGAGAUCUGCUAGUCACAAUCAGAUAGACACGUUAGAGCCGCCCCAGGGACUGUGCCCCGAGCGUGGGCUCCGAUGGUCAAGUUAGAUCAGCUAGAAGAUCUGAUAUGGUUCUCCAUAGCUGGAGAGAACCACCUUGGUGCUAGUGGCUGAAGGCGGCGGAUGGCGGCUGAGCCACCCGGCCNUGGGGAAAUCUAGUGGUGGCUGAACCACUUGGGGGAGAGUCUAGGGAAAGGUCUACGGGAAGGUCCCUCUCCAUGGAGGAGGUACUGUUCAUUAUAUAGGGGACAAUUAGGUCAAGGGGAAUUAGGUCAGGCCUUGGGCCAUCCCAAUUCAGGCCCAACUAGCAAGGAGUUGGACAAGGCCGCCCAGAGGCGCCGGGUGGGGCUGGCAGGCGUGCACCAGGAGAGGAUGGCAAGGGAGCGCCAGGCGAGGGAGCGCCUGGCUGAGCCGGCAGGAGAGUCCCAAGUAGGGCUGGCAAAGGAGUCCCCAGCAAGGCUGGCAAGGGAGCGCCAGGCAAGGCUGGCAGGAGCGCGCCAGGCCAGGCUGGCACGCUAGAGCAGUCUAGGCCACGCCAGUGGACCAUAUCUCAUCAUUCAUCAUAUAGUACUCUCUUACGAACUCACUAUACGAGUUAGGAAGUGACUGAAGAACCCAGUCAAUAGCCAGCUCCUCACAGACAACGGAUCCCAACAUUCUUAACCUAUCAAUGUGUGACUUCAUCUCUAGGACGUGUGCACACACCGACUUUCCUUCUUCAUGUUUACUUGCCAAAAGGGCUUGAGUGAGCUUGAACUUUUCAAGCCUUCGAACUUGUGGGUUAGGGAGAAUAAUUGGAGGAGGUGGAGGAAGUGAAGCAUGAUUUCUUGUUCCUCGAUCGAAUCGUGGAAUAUCAUCUUCAUGUGGAAUGCUUGUUCCACGGGAUUUGGGAAGACCAUAGUUGUCGAACUUUGACAUCUACAAAACGGGAGAAAACGAAUUCAAGUUAGUUGAUUGAUUGAGUCCUUAGUAAAUCACCCAAAUGAGAUACUAAGGCUAGGACCCAACACAAUAUUCUACAACUCGGGAGAGGGAUGCCGUAACCCUAAUUGCAGAAUAUUUGAAGGUAAGUGAAUGACGAUUUACUAAUUUCCACCAUGAAAAACGAAAAAGAAAUUUAAGUUUUAAAUCUAUUGAAAAUUCCUAGAUCUUUUGAGAUUCAUUGAACAUUUCAAUGGCAUGUUUAAAUCUCGAUAUGCCCCUCUAGUUUGUGACUGGGAUGCCGAGGAUCACAAAGCGGGUGUGAAUAACCAUGCAAACUUACAUGGUGCCCUCACAUGUUACAGUCACCUAUUCGAUGUGCCGGUAAACCACACACGCUCCACCGAACUAUGACAAACAUUGAGUCACCCUUUGCUACCUUUGCUUAGAACCAUUUAGUGUGCCGGUUAACCACACACGCUCCACUAACGUCUUCGCAAGGGCACAAAGUGUAAUUUCAUGGAAUUGCAUCAAUUCACUUUUGCCUAAAGUAACUAAGAUUGGGAAUUUUGUAAAAACAUUUAGUUACUUUUGUACUUCAUUAUACUUAUAAUGGAAGGUUUUUGUCCUAUCCUACCCGUUCGGCUAACGACCCUCCACUAGUCAAGAGUGCGGUGGGUAAGAGUGGAUACCCAUUCAAUCGCCAUUUUAUAGGCAAUUUCCUUAAACACCCCUUAUAGACCAGCUUCGUGAAUGAGGCCUACUAACGGUAAGACUGACUUUUACUCAUACAUGUAUAUAAUGUUAGACUUUUAAUGUUAUAUAUAGUAUACGGUGUAUUUUACACUUUUGAAAUACUAGGUGGCCUAAUUUAAUAAAUUACAAUUUUAAUUAAACUAAAUGUGAACCUAAACUUUAUGGAUUUAUUAAAUCUCCUUUAAUUAUACACCUUAAUUAAUUAAUAAAACCAUAAGGGUGUGAUUUGAACUUUUCAAAACAAUACUAGGGUUUUAGAAUUUAACAUUUCUAAAUUAAACUAUUAAUCAACUUUUAAAUUCCAAAACUUGAGGGCAAGUUUUGAAACAUUUCAAAACAUCAAGGAUCAAAUAGCAAUUAAUUUAAAUUAAACAAUUAAUUUAAUGAUUAUAUAAAUUUGACCUAAUUUCAAUUUCUUGCAAGAUAAGUUACCCAAUUAAUACAAAUAAUCAAUCUUUAAUCAUACAAGGAAGUUAUUAUCUAAUAAAUUGGUAAAUAUCUUUUGUUUAAUCAAGGAUAUACUCAAAUAUAAGAUAGAAUUUGAAUAUUAAAGACCCAAAACAAUUAAGGCAAGUAUCCUUAAGCAAAACAGCAAGAAAUCCCGAAACUGCCUCCUUCUGACGCUUGAACUCGCCGAGUAGGUGCAACUCGCCGAGUCCACAUUGGAACUCGCCGAGUUCAUCAGGCAGGGAGCCAAAAAAUGAUUUUUGAAGCUUAAACNAACCUGCCUCAUUCUGACGCUCGAACUCGUUGAGUCCACAUUGGAACUCGCCGAGUUCAGCUGUCAGAAUGCCAAAAUUUUGAUUUUGCAACAAGAAUGAACAUGCUAGGCAUCAAUACAAUAGAAACCAAUCAAGGCUCUGAUACCACUGAUGGGUUUUGGCCAUAAGAACAUCCUAUGUGCUCAUACAAACCCUAAUGCUUGGAUCUAGGUUUCUCUAUUGUACAUGCAAUUCAUCCAAGACUUUAAACCCUAGAUCUAGCAUACAAUUAAUCUAAUUAACUUAUGAAUGGGUUUAGAUCAUACCUUGAUUGUUAUGUAGCAAUAACAAUCUCAAAUCCUCCUUGUAAUAACUUUAGAAAGCUUAGAGUCACAAGUGUCACUCCUCUAAUGGUUUACAAACACCAAGAGCAAGAGGAUGAAGAACAAGGAGAGAGGAGGCUGCCCAAAACGUGUGAAAACCCUAAGGAACAAGUUCACCACGUUUUUGGGGCUUAAGGGUCUUAUAUAUACAUGUAGGCUAUUAGGGUUUUGAACUAGGAAACCCUAAACUGACUGCUUAAGCCCUAAGCAGCCCAUGGACCCUUCUCUAAUAAGCCUUGGACGAUUUAUAAUGGGUUUCCCCAUAGAAUUCGUCCAACCUUAUAUUAUAAGGUAAUCAAUAGCCCAAUUGCAUUUAUCUUAUAAUUAUAAUUCCAGUCCCUUAAGUUUAAUUAAUCUCUUUUAGUCACAAAGUUAAUUAUCAAUUAAUUAUUGACUAAUAUUAAUCAAACAAUAUGAUUUCUCCUUUAAUAUAUUAUUCUCAUAAUAUAUUAAUAAAUCAUAUUUAAUCCUUUUUCUCCAUAAUUCAUCAUAUCAAGUUGCUUUGGUGAAGGCAGCCCAAAAGGACCAUGCACCAUCGGUUCAAGUACAUACCAAAAUGGUUAUGGACUCAGACACUAAUCCAACAAUUUUUGGGCGUGAAAUUUGGGUCGUUACACUUGGGCUGGAAUACCAGGCAUGUCCACAAUGGGUCCAGUCAUCCUCGGAUGGAAUACCCUCGUAUCAUAAGCAUAUUGGCCCAAUCAGCCUCGGGCUGGAAUACCAAUGUGUCGGGUCCAAUCAACAAUCGGGUUGGAAUGCCCAGGGUUUGUUGGCCUACCGUCUCAACUCUACCGCUCCUCCCGAGCCUCCAUGCCUAUGGCUUACAGCCGGCCCGCACCGGGUAUCUUGGCCUACCGCACAAAGCAGGACCGCCUCCACCCAACCAAACACAAUAUGUUGACAUAUAAACAAUCAAGACCAAGUAGGCACAUAAUACAGGAAAACAACAAUCAUACAGCUCACUACAUCCUACUAAUCCUCUCAUAACAUACAGUCUCACUACCAGCUAACCCCCAUAGAAUGCGUAGCCAUGAGUAACCAGAGGUGAGAUAGCCACGCGAACAGAUGGUCCUACUCUAGAGCCACAAACAAACAAGGAACAAGCAAGAGAGACUAUACCAAGAGUUCUCAGUCUAUCCUACAUGACCACCGACAGUCCCUAAGGGCACUCCAUAGAUGAAAACCAGCAAGAACAGAUAACAUACAGUUCUACAGGUUAUUACCACAAAGCAACGUACUUAAUACCAGGAGACAAAUCUAACUGAUCACUACAACAUAGCAGCAUACUUAAUACCAUAACAUAGAUCUAACAAAUCACUACAGCGUAGCAGCAUACUCAAUACCAGAACAUAGAUCUAACAGAUCACUAUAGCAUAGCAGCAUCCUCAAUAUCAACAAUCCAAGGAAUGCAUGACCAUAUAUACUUAGAGGUUAGAUAGUCACUCGGACAGGUGGUCCUACUCUAGAACCACAACCAAACAAGGAGCAGGUAAGAGAGCCUAGGUCAAGAGUCCUCAGUCUAUGCUACAUGACUAUAUACAAUCCCUAAGGCAUCCCUCUACUAGCAGAUAACCAAAAUUAGUGGGUCGACAUUGGUGCCUUCGACCCACAGGUACAAUGAGGCGAAACUCACCUCGAUGUGCGUGUAAAAACCAUUGUAGUAAUGAAGGACUCUACCAACUUCAACUCACUUCUAAUCAUAUAUAGGAAGAUACUUGAGUCAAUACCCGAUCACAGGUCAUAGUCACUUGCAACAGUGACUACCUCACAUGAAAUGACGAUUAGGGUUUCACAUAAAAUGACGAUUAGGGUUAAGUAAUAACACUUAACCCAUUAAGGACUUAAUCACUUAAGGAUAUGACUGAUUAAGGUUUGACUUAGUCGUCCUCGGGUGAAAUAAUAAUCCAAUCAACAGCCCAAUUACGCACUCGAUUAUUGCCCAAAAAAGAGCUCCUCGAUUCUAGAAUUUUCGCAUAAAAUGAUAACUAGGGUUAGUGUUCCUCACUUAACCCAUUAAGGACAUAAUCCAUUAGGUCCAGUAUUGCAUCGAGUUAAUUGUGGAGAAUUAUUAAGUAUUAUUUUAGGUUUAAUUAAUAGUUUUAACGCGGGUCCCGACCAACUCCAAAAUUAUGGUUUCUUGAUAUUAGGGUUUUCUAAAUCCUAAUUAGGGUUUCCAAACCCUAAAGUUAAAUGAUUACCUAAUUAAAUAAAUAUUUAAUUAAUAAAUUGGGCAUCAUCCACUGCCACCUCGUGCAGUGGUGGUCGGCGACGGUCCAUGGUGGCAGAAGGCGGCAGCCACCCACACAUGGCGGCGGUUUGAGUAAUAAUUUUAACAAUCCAAUACACAUACAAUUUCUUACAACACACACACACUAUCACCAAAAAUAAUAAGAAAAAACCUAAUACAACCACCAAAAACGGUGGCCGAUGGCGGCAGGAGUUGGCAGCCACCACCUCACGGUGGUGGAGGUGCUUUUUCUUCAGUUUCCAGUCAAGCAACACCCAAAACAAUAUUCAACUGAAACAAACACACACACCUAAACACUAUUUCACACACAUAGCCACCACCACAUGGCGGCUGGUGGUGGCAGAAAAGGAAAUAAUGGCUACAACCACCAUGGUGAGCGGCCAUGGUGGUUCUCUUCAACUUCCGGCCAACCAAAGUACACACACGCAUCACAAGUUUGCAACAAUAGCACACACGCACACACACACAUAAAACACGCACAACAUCACCACCAUUAUGGUGGCAAGAGGUGUUCGGAGGUCGUUAUGGAGACAAUCAGAUGAACGGUUGCAUUAGAGAAGAAGUGGAGAAGAGAAGAGGGUUUUACAGCAGCAAAACACACAUACACAAACAUGAACACCAUGCAACUAAUCCUCACUCGAGGUGGAGGACGACGACCGGAGAACCAAUGAACAAGCAACAACACGAAGCGGCGGUGGUCCGGUGACGACGCUGCAACAGAAGAAUGGAGAAGAAAAGAAUAUUAUGGACCCCAACCGACAAAUAGCAGCAAUGGCAACCGCAACUUUGCUUCUUUCGACCAACUCCACAGUCACGGUAUCGGAUUCAACAAGUUUCUUCGUUGGUGAUGACCUUCCUGGCUCCGGUGGUUCACUAUGGUGUCAACAGGGUGGCGGUUGGGAGUUUGUGGGAUAAGGCGGCGGCUAUAGAAGCGAUUUUAGGGUUAUGGUUUGGAGGGUGUAGUUCAAAAAUGAAGGGACGAUGGAAGGGUGACGGGUAUUAACCCAUCUCUUAUCAACUUCUGCCAAAAUUUCACUUUCAGUCCCUCCCACAUCCAUCUUUUUCAAUUCAAUUACAUAAAUUACCAAACAGACCUUGCUUCAUGAAUUUCUUUACAUUUCAAGUCCAAUUGAUACAAUUUAGACUCCAAAUUCCUGAAAUUAUAACAUUUAACUCCCUUAUUAACACUAGUAAAGUAUUACUGCUUUAGGGCUAUUAUUUAUUCAUUUUAUUUAUUAAAUUAUAAUUUAUUUAUUUAUUAACUUUUUAACGAAAUGUUACAAUUCUCCCCCACUUAAAUUAGAUUUCUUCCUCAAAAUCAGCUCUCACUCCUACCUCAAGAUGCACUUCUAACAUCCGGAUUCCCAGGUAUUAUAUUUGUUCCUUUAUUUUUGGGAAUUGUGGGGAGACUCGGCGAGUUGGCAUCCAAACUCGCCGAGUAUGGUCGCGGAUUCGUAUGCGAGUUCAUAGCUGGACUCGGCGAGUUCACGAGUGGACUCGGAGAGUCCACGCUAUUUAAUGAAACCCUAAUUUCCAGAGUUUGAGACCUAUUUAAAGGCCCUUAGGGCCGUCAUUUGCGGCCACCAACCCCCAGAGAGAAACCCUAAGAGAUAUAGAGCGUUUGUGAGGAAGGAGAGGCCAUUCUUGAUCCUUUUGUGGGUAUUUUUGCAAGAAGGAAAUGAUCAAGGCAAAAGGAGGCUGAAGGAGGUGCAAUUUUGGUGGUUUUUGAGUUCAUAGAGACUGUAUUGAGGUAUUAUUCUCGGACCUUCUUCAAUUUUGGUGUUGAUCCUUUGUGUUGGGGUUUUCUAACCCUUUUAGAGGUUGAUUAAGUAGAGCAUUUGGUCCCUUCUCGAGUUUGUGUUCUGGAUCUAGAACCAAAGAGGUCCAGAGGCCUUAACCAUUGGAGCUUUAUGAGUCAUUUUGGGAGUCAUGAGCUUGGGAUGUCACUUUUGGGGCUAAAUCACCAUUUUGGACCAUUUAGAUGUUAUAUGAGUGCCAAGGUCCGAACUUUACGUGAUUAUCAGGCUUGGGGAGGCCAGAUCUAUGAUUGUAUGGAACAGAUCUGACCUCAAGAGUUGUUUAGAGUUUGUGCACGGCAUGAACUCGCCAAGUCCGAAGAACAGACUCAGCGAGUAGUAUGAAGGUUUCCCGUUAAUCACCCAGUGAGUGAACUUGCCGAGUUGGGGAAUAACUCGGUGAGUCACGGAGAGUCAGGGGAGACUGAGUUCAAGUGGAACUCGCCGAGUUGUUCUUGAGACCUGACAAGUUGAGUCGGGGUGGCCCCGCGAUUCAUGCCAGGUGGAACUCUUCGAGUCAGGGGAAGAACUCGACAUGCCAAGAAGGGAACUAAGAGAGUCAGUGGACACGUGUAGACUCGCCGAGUCGCCCUAAGUGCACUCGUCGAGUCGGGUUAAAGUUUGACCGUUGACCUUGUUGACUUUUAGGGUUGAGUACAGUUGUACUUAUGGGAGUAUUUACUUUAUGUGAUUAGGCGGAGGCUAGAUCACAUUUCUUCCGAGACAGAUACUUACCGAGACAUUGAGGUGAGUCUUCUCGCUAUACGUUACCUAGAGUGGUAUAUUGUGUGGACCAAAGGGUCUUAUGUGCUAUGUAUGAGAUUAUGUGCUAUGUGUUAUGUGUAUGUUGUAUGAUACAGACCGAAGGGUCCAACGAUACAGACCGAGCCAGAGGGCCCAACGAGCUAUGACCGGACCAGAGGGUCCAACGAGCUACGGGAAUGGAGGGUCCCGCUAAGACACAACGACCGGAAGGUCGUAUUAUGGCCUCGAGUGGCGUAUUUGUUGUAUGCGAUAUUUUAGGGAACUCACUAAGCAUUUAUGCUUACAGUUGUUGUGUUAUGUGUUUCAGGUACUAGUGAUGAGCGCGGGAAGGCACCGGCAUGAUUCGUACACACACGCAUUGGAGUUUAUGUUUGAGAUUCUGUGGAGAUGUUUUGUGAUGAUAACAAUUGAUACAAUGUGUUUUGAAAAUAUUUUAUGAGUGAAUGAAUGUAUUAAAAAUGAAAAAUUGUUUUGAAAAUUUACCUUGUUACAACACUCCCCUACAACAACCAAGAUGAAUGAACAUCUGCAAAAUUAAUCAGUCUCUAAGCUUUUCGGCCAUAUGUUGGCACUCUAAUCCCGCACCAAAAAGGGCAUCACUACAAUGAAGACUAAUUGAUCUCAUAUUGACUAGACUACACUCUUCUCUGCUCUGACAGCCCAGCUAAGCUAUACACUAUCAAGACUUACCCCCAAUCAGAUGAUAAUAGACAUGCAAACCCUCAACCGGAGCUCCUAAUGUAACAUCCGGAUAUCCAUGUAUGGGAAUCUGAGUAUUUUAUAUUGGGGAAUGAGGAGACUCGGCGAGUUGACGCCUCAACUCGUCGAGUAGGAUCGCGUUUUGGGGACCAGUUUAAUGAAGGGACUCGACGAGUCGGGUAUUCGGACUCACCGAGUCGGCGCUGUCAAGGAAAACCCUAAUUGUCCGGGUUUGGGACCUAUUUAAAGGCCCUUAUCGCCUUCAGUGGCGGCCACCUACACCUUUGAGAGACUCCUAUCGAACCAGAGAGCUGAGAGAGCAAAGAAGAGCCAUUUUGGAGCAUUCUUGAGGUGGUUGUGCAAUGGAGUAGUCAUUUCCAGCAAAGGGAGGUCAAUUGGGUGUCGAUUUAGAGCUUCUGAGCUUGCAUCUUCACCAUAGAGGUAUCAAAUCGUUCUCCCUUUUCUGUUUUGGGUAAGAUUGGUGAUUUUAGGAUUUUCUAGCUUCUUUUAUGGCUUGAUUUGUGGAGUAUAGUGUCCCAUUGAGUGUGAAGCCAUAGAUCUGGACCCAAAGAGGUCCAGAGAGUCCCUUCCAUCCUGCUUUAUGCAUUCUAUUUGGAGUUUUGAGCUAGGGUUGUUAUGUAAUGAAGGGUUUCACCCAAAUGAGCUUGUAGAACCUUGCAUGAGUGCCCAAGGUUCGACCUUUUCGUGGUUAUUGGCUUUGAGGGAGUUAGAUCUAUGGUUUGGUGAAGCAGAUCUGACCUCAGAAGGUCAGAUGAGGGUUGUCAUGGGAGCAACUCGCCGAGUCCAUAGGCAGACUCGACGAGUCGAGUCGGGGUUGCCCCGCGUUUCGUUGCCGAGUAACUCGACGAGUGGAGAGGGAACUCGUCGUGUCUAAGAGGUUUAAAAAGGAUUUAGAGAACCCGCAUGGACUCGCCGAGUCACUCUUGUGUACUCGCCGAGUCUGGUCAGUGUUGACCGUUGACUUGAGUUGUCUUAUGUUGACUUUGGGAGUUUUGGUCAACAGAGGUAAUAGAGGUCAGGGAGGGGUAAAAUGGUCUUUUACCCAUUACCUGACUAGAGAGGGAAAGAGUAAUCGCCGGUUAAUUAGAGUUGGGACUUCGAGUAUUAAUUAGAGAUAUUUGCCUUAUGUGUUAGGCGGUGGCGAGUCCGAGGUUCGCAUGUGCAGAUAAUUGCUUUCUGAUUGCCAGGUGAGUCUUNAGGUAACUAGAGUUAUGUGACAGAGUAUUUGUAUGCUAUGUAUGUUAUGUGUUGUACUUCAUUAUUUUUAUGUGAUUUAUGUUGUGCAUGUUUACAGAGUUAGAACCGGAAGGUUCCCAGAGUUAGAACCGGAAGGUUCACAGAGUAGGGUCCACGGACCCGCAGAGUUAUCGCCUCGAGUGGCUAAUAUGUGUUAUGUGUGGUAUUUUGAGGAACUCACUAAGCUUCGUGCUUACAGUGUUUUGUGUUAUGUGUUUCAGAGUUCUCUCAGGAUCACGGGACGGCACCGGCUCGAUUAUACACACCAGAGAAAGAGUCAUGUUUUGAGGAUCCUGGUUUAUUAUGCAAGUGAAAAUGGAGUUAUGUUUUGUAAUUCGAUUAUGAAUGAGAUUUAAAGAGAAAACUGUUUUUAAGAAUUAAAUGAUUAUUUUUAAAUGAAAAAUUGUUUUGAAAUUUACGGUGUUACACCUAACACCUUAGGUUCUAAGCACAAGCGCCCUACAAAUGUCAUCACAACCAAGACUAACACGAAUCAGAUGGAAAGUUCAAUAGUUGAUGAUUAUCUAGUUAUGAAACCGGAGGACUUAGCAGAAGUCUGAAACUCAUAGAAAAUAUUAUUGAAACAGAAUCUUGGCACAAAGCCUUCCUGCUACGAGGUUCCACCCUCCCUUACUUGAAAUAUGCUAGGAACUAAGAACUUCAUAGUCUUUCGAUACUCAAACUAAGUCAGACUCAACUACUUGCUCCCAACCACUGAUAUUCACAUACAUAGAAGAAUCUUAAGUCACACGACAUUCACAAUUUCCAAUAUGCAUACAAUCGAGGCCUAAGAUAAUUAAUCCAUACAUAACAAGCGAUCACUUUAAACAAAGCUGAAUAGAAUAAUUUCAUUAAACUGAUAAUUUAAGAUUACAACAGAACUUUGAAACACAAACAUGAAUUAAAGAUAAAUGCCCAUACUACCAUAAUUUCCGAAUAGAAGAACUGCCAACUCAAUUCUCGAUCCUCAGGACCCCGGCGGUCCCCUGACGACAAUCCGGUAACUGCCAAGAUAAGGGUGUAGGAUCCAACACCUCACUGAGAAGCGGGUAAUGAGCCCUGAUGUGGCCUUCCUAACCGCAAUGAAAACAAGCUCGCACACACUACCUACAAUCUCUUCCAAAAUGACCCUCAUCGCCACACCGGCGACAUGUAACAGAUCUGCGCCUCCCUUCAAUUGGUCCUGAACUCUGGUCGGCGGACUUGAACUGCUUUGUUGCAGGCUGGGACUCAUCCGGAGCCUAACACUGCUCCCUCACUUGGGUCUCUAUCUCAAUCUCUAUCCUCUUCAUGGCAUCCUGAAGCUCAACGAGAGAACCACAACGUUGGAUGGACACGAACUGUCGAAUAUCCAUCUUGAGCAUGCUCAGAUACCGAAUCAUUUGAGCAUACUCUGAAGCAGCAAACUCAUGACUAAACAAGUCCCCCUCAGUGAACAUCUUGAUGAUCUCCGUCACCGAAUCGGUCGUCUAUCUCAGAUCUAGGUACUCCUGGGCCAGUCUCUCCUUCUCUACCAGGGGAACAUAACUUGCACGGAACAUCUCCGAGUAUUUUUACCAAGUCAUUGGGCCCUCUGCUCAGGAGUAUAAGAACUAGUCACCAGUCUCCACUAAUCCCUUACCCCGUACCUCAAAAGGUUCAGAGCGCACCUAACCUUUGGUUAUUUGGACAAGAACACAUGAAGAAACAACCAUCCACGCCAGACAACCAUAUCAUCACCGUGAUCGGGUCUGAGACCCCAUCAAACUAUGGGGGGCUUCGUACGAUCGAAGUCCCGAUACUGGAAAUCUCUUUCUCCCCGAGCCCUAAUGGCAGCAACAUCCGUGGAGGCUGCAGCAACAGCAACCUCAGAAAGUGUAGCAUAUUGCAGUAUAAUGGGCGAUAUCUCUUACGUUGUCUUUGUGGAUUCCCACCGAAUUCCAAUUAGAUAUAAUGAAAACCUUUAGUUUAGGAGUCAUUCAGGCUAGAUCUAAAAAAAGAACAUAGCCUUCGUAUGAUGAAGACUUACUUAAGUUAAGCCCCGAAACCUAUUCAGCAGUUGAAAAAACCAAUUCAUUCCAAGGCAAACAAAGAGGUCUUUCAUUUUGUCGUUCAGUCCUUCUCUCCUUCCAUCUUUCCUUCCUUCCAUGUAGGCCUCUUGCUAUCCAUAUUGAGUCUGUCCAAGAGCUUGGGUAAGCAUUCAAAGUAAAAGCAGUCUCCUGGUCAUCAAAUUACUCCAUCAUCGCAGCCUUGAUAGAUUCAACCAACUUCGGGAUCUAACCCUGACAUAAGAAACAACUUCCUCACGAAUGAUCUCCCUGACAUGGUCCUCAGUCAAAGUUGGCCCAACCUGUCCAUCUGCUCGUGAUCCUGAUCCGGAUCCGGUCUCGAAUCGCCUCGCAACCACCAUACUGAAAAAUACACCAGAAAGAUAUCAGGUAUUCCAGAUAAACAACGAGGAACCAACUCCCAAUGAAGCCCUAGGGGCUGUGACUUCCUUGCUAAGCGUAUGUGUCAUCUGCUUUCAGAAGUACAAGCCCAUACUACCUUCCACACCUACUCAUAUUUGUCUCAAGGAUCAUCACAACGCCCUAACAAUACACAUAAGCAUAAGAAAUUGAUUUUCCACAACAUCACAUCAUGGAUUCUAUACCUCACGUCGUGAAUCUCAAAUUUCUACAAAAUUGAAGACCAUUACUCCAUAUUUAUUUCAUGGGCCACUAUUAUUAUUGUGGCGAUAUAAUGAAACAAGUUAUGACUCUUUCUCUCAACCAUGCAAUGUGACGUACGCUUUCCCACAUUGGUCUCUUAUGCUUUGAAUAUUUUCUACACCACGUUUGUUGAAGAUUCAAAUCUCGGAUUCGAAUUUUUGUUGGCACAUUUACAUAUCUCAUUUGUUGAAGAUCCCAGUUCCAUAUUAGAAGAUGUCAAAUUCAAGAUGUUCAAGUUAUCCACACUUUUCAAAAAUCGAUCUCGCUACUUAUACCCAGAGGAGUAUGUUCCUUUUUCUCCCUUUUUAUUGUUUUUAUAUUGUUUUUGCAUACAAUGAUGGCAUUGUAUGUUAUAAGUGUGGGGUAGGGGGUCGAAAAAGUAAAUUGCUAGAAAAUUUAAAAACUUGAAAUUUUAAAAAGUUAGAAUUAAAUUUAGAAAUAGAUUUGAAAUAAUAAUCUAAAAAUUAAAUCUAGUAAUAAUAGUUUAAACUUAAGUUUCCAGUGUUGUGUGGGACGAUCCGAUGAGAGCUCAAAUGUUUAAUUGAGCCAACAUAUGUUAUACUAUAUUCGUGGCUUUUCAAGUUUUUUUGAAAAGUCAUGAGAUAUGAAAGGUAAUUUGGUAGUUUAUAUGGCAUAAUAUGUUUUGCAGCCUAAACCUGAAAUCUAUCUAGAAGAGCUUAUGUAGUCAUUGCACUUAGACUAAUACUUUUAACCAAUAAAGGUUGAAGUUAAGCUCCCUUGCUUAAGCAUGUAGGAUUUUAGCGACAAACGUGAGAUAUUAUAUAAGAGAGAGAGAGAGAGAGAGAGAGAAAUUACCAAAAAGUUGCAAGAAUUUUGGAGCUAUCAAAGUAUGAAGAUCAAAAGAUCAAAAUUCUGAAGAUACCAAAAAUCAAACAAAAAAGGUGUUGAAUUCAAAGAAAUCAAAGAUCAAUUAUAUCAAAGAAGUGAAGAAUUCCAAAGAGCUCCAUUGUGGUAUCAAAAGUUGUAAUUUUUCUAGAUUAUGGAUGCUUGGAUAGCUUAACCAAAAAUACCUUGAGAUUAAGAAAGAUUUCUGAGGAUUGAUUCAGAGGGUUGCAGAAAUGAGUGUCGUAUAAACUAAGGGGUGAUGGUUCAUAAGGAUUGUGAGUAUUUAGGAUUGGGAAGUGAUUAGGAGAUUUAGACACAAAUAUACGCAUUUCGGUCUUGGUGUAAUGACUGAGUUCGAAAUGGAUUGUCUUAUGUGAUGCUAGUGAUGAAAGUUUAAAUUUGAAAAUAGUUAGUUUUGCUUGAGGGCAAGCAAAAUAUAAGUGUGGGGUAUUUGAGAUAUUGUCAUAUUUAUACAUAUUUUUAGGCAAUAUUUGAAUAUAUUUUGUUUAAUAUUUCUGUUAUUUGCAUAGAUAAAUGGUACUUAUAAGAUUAAAUUGUAUUUUGCAGCCAAAAGAAGUCAUCUUGAAGAAUAAGGACUAAAAGCGAUAAAGAUUGGAACUUUGGAGGUUAAGCGCUUAGCGGAUGAAGAAUUCAGCAAAAAAUCAUUCUCACGACGUAAGGAAUCAAGCCUUACGACGUGAGCAUGGAGGUUCUAGAAGAUAAACAUCCGGAGGCAAGAAUCCGUGUUCGAUACGGAUUAAUACUGAACUCACGAUAUGAGGUUCCUUUUCUCACAACGUGAGUAGGGUCAAUUCGAAAUCUAUAAAUAUCCUUGACACUUACAGAUUUUAGAGGUUGGUUGGAUAGAAUAGAGUUUCUAGAGUCAUUUUUCAGAGGAAAAGAAGGCAGAAAUUUAUUAAUUUCAACCAAGGAAAAAGAAGAAGAUCAUACUUUAUUUUUAGUUUGGUACAUUACUAUGUCUUUAAUUAUGAAGUCUACUUGUUUGAUUGCUUCUAUGAGUAGCUAAAUCUAGUUGCUUCUGUUAGCUAGAUGAAGCUGGAACUCAUGGUUUGGUUACGUUAGUAUGGAUUUUUCUAGUUGGUUAAUGGCUUGUGUUUGAUUGUUUAUACCUAGCAUGCUUAAUUUGAUACUAGAUUGCUUUAAUUCAUAUUCUAUGUAGUUUAGUGACCAUUAAUCUGCAUGAAUUUAAUUACCUGGUGAUUUAGUGACCAUUACAUUAUUAGAGCUAAGAUCGAACCAAUCUUAGAUAAGUAAUUAAAGUAUUGAAUUUGGCUUUGUUGGAGAACGCAUAUUGUGACCAUAAUUAUGUUUGUUAACUCAAUCUUACAUAGCUCCAAUCCUAUCUAAUAAUGAUUAUGUGUUAAAUUAUGUAUGACCAUGCAUAGCUCUAUAUGAAUUAAUUCAACAUUAGUAAAUUUGGACUUGAAUUGCUAAUAAUACAUUAAUUGGUAACUAACGAGAAUUGUCUAUAAUUAAUUGUUAACCAUUGAGAGAAUGUGGAUUCGAACUAACAGAAGUGUUUUUAAUAUUUGUUUGAAUAGUUGUUGAGAAUUUAAGUUUGUCUGAACUUGCAAAAUUAGAUAAACAAACCCUUUUACUUUUGCUUAGAAUUUUAGGUUAAUUUAAUAGUGAGUAAGUUAAAUAAUUAAUCUCGUUCCUUAAGAUCGAUACCCGACUUUUGUGCUAUACUAUUUGCGAAAGGGUACAGUGCCAUGGGUCGAAUAGCUAGUAGGAUAGUAGGCAAAAUUAGGUGUAACUAUUUGCACGCAUCAUUUUUGUCACAAGUUGUGGAUUUUAAUUAGUUCACCGAUUAGCUUGGGAAGGGAUGACUAACCUAUCAUUUUCCUCUCCAUUCGUCCCCUGCUACUUUGUGAUGAUCGCAUCAUUUUCUUUGUGCAAAAUCAUUUUGCCUACAAUUAAUUUUACUUAAUUCAUUUAUUUACUACAUUUAGUUAUAUUCCCCCUAUUAUUUACAUCAUUCAUAAUGAUGAGUUCAAUGAGAGACUUAAAUGAUGUCACAUGUCUAUAUGUCAUUCAGUGAAUAAAACUUUAUCAUUGUGAGAUGUCAAAUUUACAUUCAAUAAAUUUAGAGUUCAAUGACCAUUGAAUUUUUUAAUGGAAAAAUGAAAGUUUUUAAUUUUUAAAUAUAUACUACAAAUUACUUUUUGUAAUAUUCUAUUAAACUUUGUAGAGUUCAAUGCAUUGUAGGAAAAAAAAAUGAUAUAAUUAUAUAGAUUGUAGAAAAAUGAUAUAAAAAUCUAUUGAAACCUAUAUAGUUAAAUGUGGAUUUAUUUUAGUGUUUCAAUUUGUGUUCAAUUAUGGAUGCUGACUAAGUUAUUUUUAGUGUUUCAAAUUAACUUUGUAUAUCUCAUUUAUCUAUAAAUACAAGAUACUCGCAUGUAUUUCUGGUGGUGAAAAAAUAACUUUCCUGUCACUUUCGUUAGCAUGAAAUUUGUUGUUCUCUACAUUAAUUUACGGAACUGACAUAAUAAAGUAUCAGCAAUAUAUCACUUCGCGUUAAAUACCUUUAAAUUUCAAUAUAUAAUAUAUAACUAAUUAAUAAAUACAUAGAUAAAUAAACAUUACAAAGAAAAAGAAAUAACAAGGAGUUAAAGUUAUAAAGUAAAGCAAGAUAUUAUAACAAAAACCAUUUAAACUUUCUAUUUCUAUAUAUUAUACUAUAUGUUUAUGCUAUAAGGGUACAUCUCGUACAAUCAAAAUCCUAAUCUUGAUUAUGAAAGAAAGGUAUAUACAAAAAUAAACCUCACUAGCUUGUAUGUUUUUACACUAACUGGCUCAUGCAUAUUUUGCUAUUUCUUGUUUGUAAUUUAUUAGUUUGUUUGUUUAUUUGGUGUUUAAAGGAAGGAAGUUGUUGAUGGACACCUUGGUCGAACAUUAAGAAUAAGUGGGUUAGCCAUCUCACAUGAUAGCUUCAACACCUCCGUCAAGUCAACGUCGUUUCCAUCCAUCUCAAACUCCUGCAUCAAUGACGCCACCCAAAAACUUACCGUCGUCAAUCCAAGAGUCUUCCCAGGGCAGCUCCGCCUACCCGACCCAAACGGAGCCACCCUCAAGUCCGAACCCAUCACAGAAAAAUCCUUUUCAAACCUUUCUGGACGAAACUCCGACGGUUCCUUCCAGAGAUGUUGGUCUCGACAGAUGCCCCACAUGUUGACCAUGGCGGUGGUUCCCGCUGCCACGUGAUGACCGUCAACGGUGGUGUCGGAAACGGCCAGACGAGCCCAAGAGAGGAGUGGCCCUGGUGGGUGUAGCCUGAGAACCUCUUUGACAACCGCAGGUAGAUAGAUCAAGUUGGCAAUGUCAGAUUCCGUCACGGGACGACACCUCCCCACCACCCUGUCUAGUUCUUCUUGUACCUUUAACUGAACAUCAGGAUGCAGCACCAACCUCGCUAGAAUCCACUCCAUCAUUACAGCCACCGUGUCUGUUCCUCUGAAUAUCAUCUCCUGCAUGCAUGUCCAUAUUCAUUACAUAUAUACAUGUACAAUAUAUAAAAGAAAAAAUCAAAUUGGCUUAAUUAAUUACCCACCCACAGAACGGCAAUCAUGUCUGUGUCCGAUAAUCUCUCUGACCCUUGAAGUGAAAGCAAGACGUGGGUGAAGUCGGCGUUAGAGUAAUUAGGCGUGGUUUGCGAUCGGUGUUCUUGGAUCAUCCGGUUGACAAAGUGUUUGACUUUAGGAAGAAGAUUGGAGCACCUGAACCGGAUCCCUUGCGGGUCAAAGUCCGUCAGCCAUGGGAGGUGAUCGGUCCAGUUAAACGUUCCCAACACCUCGUAACCUUCAUCCACAAGCUCCCUCAGCUCCACCAGUUGGAUGUCAUCUGAAUCGGCCAACCGGUGCUUUCUUCCAAACACAGACCACAUCAUGUUGCAGAGAGAGGCUCGCCUAAUCAAAUCUCGGACGCAUAUCGAUUCUCUCUUUUGAUGAUGCAACAUCUCCACCAUCUCUUGGGAAAUCACCUUCCUCUGCCAUUCGGAAGCUCUCAUCUGUUUGGGACAGAAAAGAUGCAUGGCGGCGAUCCGUCGUAGAGUCCGCCAGUAAGCUCCAUAAGGUGCAAACCCGAUGGCCCGGUCGAACAUCAAAGUGCGAGCCGACUCCUUGACUGGACGAUCAACAAAGGCGGAUCCGUUGAGUAUCUCCUUGGCUACGUCCGGAUGACAGGUGACGAUAACCCUCGUUUUGCCAAGACUGAAGGCCAUGAGACGCUUAGCUCCGAAGGAUUGAGCUGCAGCGUAAAUCUUCCGGUGAGCCAAGCCGGUCAUGAGGAACAUGCUACCGAUGAAAGGAAAGCCCCUCGGACCAGGUAUUACGUUGUGGUUAGCCCAGGCUGGACCACCUGGAUGAGCCCAGUGAAAUAUGGAUUUGAGAAGGAAAAGAAGAAAGAAAACAAGCGACGUGCAUUUCGAGAGGAGAGGGAAAAGGAUAAGCCAGAGGGAUUCAAUGUCACUUGUCAUGGUGUUAUGUUCUUUCAUAUUGUGUAUUGGUUUGGGAUGAAAACCACAGGCGUAGUUGGUAUUUAUAAGGAACGAACAAGCUAAGGUAGCUAGGCAGUAACCGCCAUACUAAGUUUUCUGUUUUUGUUUUUAGUUUUGUUUUCUGACUUGAGCAGAAUUGCAUUGGGUCCACAGUUUUAUCUAACGAUAUUAAAUUAAUACCAAAUCCUAAUAAAUGGUAUUCCUGCUUUUAUUAAGGAAGGAUUUGGAGAGUGGAGGACACGCUCCUUCAAAAUUCCAUACUAAUAUAUUGUAGAAGUUAUAACUGAGCCAUGUUGUGCCUACGAGGUUGAAGGGCGAGUGGACUAUGGCAGAAUGGUAGGACACGUGAGAAAAGGGGUGUAGCACAUGAACGCCCACACUCCCUCCUCCAUCCGGUUCACCGCUUCUUGCCAAAAAUGGAGCAUGCCUCUCACCUGCAUCCAAUCUUAUGAUUCUUCUUCUUAUCAAUUAUUAUGGAUGUUUAUAUGUAUUUAUUAAAUGAAGAGUCGAGGCAGGUGGGUAUAAAAAGACAAGCGAACCGUGAUACGUGAAUCGAACCUUGCAUUCGCGACUUCCAAUGAACCACAGGCCAUAGGUUUUCCUUUAUAAUUCUAUAUAUUACUAACUCAUAUAUUAAGAGUUGAAAAGUGAAAGAUUUUUUUACAAAAACCAGAAUCACAUAGUUUUUAACGUGAUGCGUUCCAUAUUGUAUAUGCUUAUAUGUGAGAAAAGAUUAUUCCGAUUCAUAAGCUUGAAAAAGAUAAGCUCGAAAAAGAUAGUAGUAAAACACAUUUCAAAACGCUACUUAUCAGCCUUAAAUAUAUAGGAAUAGGACCAUACUAAAUACCUUAAAUAUAUAGGAACAGGACCAAACUAAAAACCAAGUUAUCCUUUUGUCAAAACACCUAAUGGUUACAACUAUUUGUCGUCGAACUUUAACAAAUUAUUACCUUAAGUCAUAUAUGUAUAUAUAAAAAUAAAUAAUAUCAAAAUAUAUAAAUAUAUAUAUAUAAUUAUUAAUUAUUUACAAAAUUAUCGUCUUAAGUCACGUCUUACAAACGACAUGACUCGCCACGGCUUGAAAAAACUUAAGGUUUGAUAUUGCCGUCAAAUCACGUCUAACACUGUUGUGAACCAUGCUAAAAACUACGAGCAUAACCCAACUACACAUAUCAACUUGCCAUUUGCCAUAGAUAUAUAUCGAUAUAAUUUUUUUGACAAAAAAGGAUAGCAGUUCGAAAAAUUUUAUUAACUGGAAAAAAAAUUAACACAAUUGCAUGUUGGAAACUCUUCAUCUCUAGAAAGGGAAAAAAGCUUCAAGACAGACCCAAAAGUCAAACAGCCUAAAACAAUUAAUGCAAAACAACAAAAUAAUAGACUAUAUUUUUAAUGGCACUUUAUGUUGACUACGGUGCAAAUCCUCUUAUUCAUCAAACAUUAUAUUACCAAGAAAUCUAUACCAAAGAAACUUUGGGAUUGAUUUAGAUAAGGCUACAACUUGGAAAGACAAAUAAGGCAUUCCGAUUAAUACCGCUAGGAGGGGAAAACCAAAUUCCAAAGAAUACAAAAAAUUGAAAAUUUGGCUCUAUAUCCAACGAAUGAAACUUUCUGAAAAAAAAAAGUAUUUUGUUUUGGUUCAACCUGUAGUCCCAUAUAAAAAACGGAUGGUAUAAAUUUAGGAAGACGUUUCCCGCCGGAUCUCUUGCAGGAAAGUAAUAAUCUACAACUUUGAGUUGUUAAUUAUAUCCUUUAUUACGACCCAAUUCUUGAAAUUUGGGACACAAGUAUUCAGUUAGUCUAGACUUCUUUAGUGUUGAAUUGGGACCAAGACAAAAAAAUUGAAAAGGCAUGUGCUUCCUUUGUUGAAAUAAGAAAAAAUGGUUUCCUUAGAUAUUUUCUAAGAAUCAACUUAGCUAAGUCACCUAUUUCUUUUAUCGGCCUGAUGAAGCUAUUUAUCUCAAGAUUAAUAAUAAGGUUCCUAAUCGUGGAAUGAGAUUUGACCGGAGUGAUAUUAAUUUGCUCUAUAGCGCCAGGUAAAUGAUUGAAUUGAUUUCGUUAAAACUAACAAAAUUAAUGAAAAUUUGGGAUUAGGGUUUCCGAUUGACGAUAUGUAACACCCGGUCUCAGGUACGCAUUUAAAUUCAAGUCAAAUUCCAUACUUUACUCUUGGACUCGGCGAGUUAGGGGCUCAACUCGUCGAGUAGAUCGACUCCGAAUCGGGGGAUUUAGUGACCUACUCAACGAGUCGGAAGUCAGACUCGGCGAGUAGGAGCUGUCUAGGUGAAACCCUAAAUUGAAGGGUUUGCACCCUAUUUAAACAUCUUAUGAAGCUUCCACCCCAGCCUCCAUCACCUCCGGAGCAUUUCACCCGAAACCCUAAUCCUCCAUAAGUGAUCUUGAGCUUUCUUGGUUGUUUUAAGCGUUUCUUGGCAUGUUUUGAAGCUAGAGCAAGAAGUGGAAGAUAGAAGACCCAAUGGAGAAGGAGUAGAUCCAGAAGCUACACCUUAUUUGCCAUCUUUUCUGGUAAUCAAGCUUACAACUUGGUCUUCUUCAUCUUAGAUCUAUUUUAUCCCCAUAUUAAGAGGGUUUUGGCUCAAAACCGUGGUCCUUGAUGGUUGGGACGUCCCAAGUGGUUCAUAUCUCAGAUCUAGGUUCUAGGGAGGAGUACAUGGCAUAAAGAUGCAAGCUUUAUGGCCAUGAUAUCCCCAUGCAUCCUAUAGACCUCAUUUUGGGUCCUUUGAGCUAAAAGUCUCAUGCAUGUACGUAAAGUUCAUAACUUUACGUGUUAUAUCGUCUUAAGGAGUCCAGAUCCACCUUUUGGAUAAGAGUUGUACAUCAGAAGUCAAGUAAUGGAUUUGGACAAUGGUCGACUCGGCGAGUCGUUCUUAGUACUCGAUGAGUCCAAGGCAAUCUCCCAACCCAUGAAGACGGACUCGGCGAGUUGUUCAUACAACUCGGUGAGUCACAAACUAGUAGCACUUAUGAUGAAGAUGAACUCGGCGAGUUCAAGGUUGAACUCGGUGAGUUAGGUGAAGAUUGUCCCGAUAACAGUUAAAGGAGAACUCGUCGAGUUCUUGCUAGACUCAGCGAGUAGAGUCGGGUUGGGGGUAAGGGAAAGAAUAAGGACUCGGCGAGUUGGUGGGCCAACUCGGCGAGUCAAGUCAACUUGAUGUUGACUUUGACCAGGAUGAUUAACUUUGGCCAAGGGUAAAAUGGUCAUUUUAACCUAAGAUCAGUAUCAGUUUUUGACUAAGUGUCUUUUUUGGAAUUUAUAGUCGAAGAGUUGCCGGAGCAGCAGACAGAGAUUCCUCGUCGAGAGUUGCAGCAGUCAGUCACACGAGAUGAGUUUCCCUCCAGUAGGAACGGGUCUAAGGCACCAAGGCCGGCCCGUUUAAGUAGUAGAGUAUGUCGGGGUGAGCCCGAUGCUGGGGUUAGCCUGAUGCAGUUUAUAUGUUUCCGGACUUCGGUCCGAUGUCGGGGCAGUCCCGAGAAGUAUUUAUGUAUGCUUGAUGUCUUUAUGAUUCAUGCAUGUUUAUGUGUUAUGUGUCAUAUGUUCUGGACUCCGGUCCGAUGUCGGGCAAGCCCGAUGCAGUAUAUGUGACUAUGUUAUAUGUUAUGUGUUUCGGGGUAAGCCUGAAGUCGGGGCAAGCCCGAUGUAUGUUAGUCAUUAUGCCAUGUAUUAUGUAUUCGAGGUAAGCCCGAAGUAUGCUAGUUUAUGUGUUAUAUGUUCCAGACUCCAGUCCGAUGUCGGGGCAAGCCCGAUGCAAUUUACGUGAUUAUGUUAUGUGUUAUGAUAUAUAUGUUAUGUUGAGUAUGUGUCGGGGUAAGCCCGAUGUCGGGAUGAGCCCGAUGCCCGAUGUUGUCAGAUGCCAAGGUGAGCUCGAUGUCGGAUAGGAGUCCGAUGUUGGGUAAGCCGAUGCUGGGAUUUGUCCCGAUGCAGUUGGGAAGAGUCCCAGAGUUAUGUUAUUUGUUGUUUGUGCUUUGUAUGUUAUGUGGUAGUUUGGGGGAGCUCACUAAGCUUCGUGCUUACAGUUUCAGUUUUGGUUACAGGUACUUCAGCUAGUAAAGGGCAGGGCUCGAGCUGAUGGCUUGGCACACACACCCCGGUUGAUUAGCUUGGGAGUUUACUCCAAUAUUUGUUAUGAGACCGUAUAUGUUAUCAGAUUUUAUGAGUUUUCAAGAUACAUGUUUUAUGGUUUUACACUAUGGAAAUGAUAUCUAUGUUUGAUAAAUGAUUUUGAAAACGAAAUUUUUGGCUUGUAUUUUUGGGAUGUUUCAAGUUGGUAUCAGAGCCUUGGUUUGAGGGAUUCGGGCACACUUUCAGGUGUGUCUGAACUCAAACAAAGGAAGUGGUAUAAAAGUUUUCAAAAGAAAAGAGUUUUAGAAAAAGUGAAAAUAAUUUUUAGAAAGAAAAGAACUUUGAAAAAAGAAAAGGGUGUGGUGCAUGCAAUCAGUCGAGCUCAAGUAAGUACUCCCAAAUUAACCAUACAAGUUUAUGCCAUGAUAUGAUUAUCAGCUUUAUUAGAACAACAUGCUAGAUUAGGACUAAGGAUCUAGGAAGGAUGCCUUAUGUGCCUGUUAUAUGUGUUUUAGCUUUAUGAGAACUGCAUGCUAAGUACAAAAUCGACAGUAUAAUAGCCAAAGUAGUAUAUGCUUGAUUAUGUGUACUCGAUACUCGAAUGUUGCUUUCUUUGUGCUUUUAGGAGUCUUAGUUAUCUUUUUCUAACUAGUAAAUGAAUAUGUUACGUUACAUAUUGCAAGGAUUAAGUAAUUUCAGAUGGUUAGAUCUAGCUCUAUUUCGCAGCUCUUGUUUGAGUCCAACCGUUGUAGGGUAGGAUCUCUCAUUCGAAGAAUUAUCUAGUCUAAGUAAUAUGUAAUAGUAUUCGCGAGCUAGUUAGGGGAAGAAAGCGGGGAAUUCUUGUGCAGCUGAUGGUAGAGAGUGAGUUGGUGAUUACCCUAGGGCAAGCCUAGGAUGAGAAUAGUAGAGAGCGGUAGUAGUAGAAAGGACUUGGUGGAGUCAAGGCAGUUCCUGAGGAAAGUACAGAUAGAUGUGGAAGGUAAUAUGGGCCCAUAAUACUGAAAGCAGAGGAUCUGUACUCGAAUCAAGGAACGUUGAGACAGACCAGGGAACUUGUGAUAUAUGUGAUCCCUCGAGUUAUAGUAGUAUUCUGACGUUUGUCAUUAUGUGUUUUCAGAAUGGUGGUUUUAUGCUCGAGACCAGCAAUCGGCAGUUCAGGUGUCGGGGAGGGAUCAGGUUCAGGCUCUGGAGUUGAGCACUUGGAUGAGCAGACUAGGGAGUUUAUCUCCUCAGAGAUCAUGCGUAGCAUACUUGAGCAUACUCAUGUGAUCUUCGGUUCGAUCAAGGAGGGUAUCCUGGAGCUUGUGGAUGAGAGGUUGGUUGUGUUUCGCAUUGAGGUGGCGACCAUGAUGGGGUCGCGCACGCUCGCGUUCAGAGAGUUUAGAGCAUGUGGAGCUCCUGAUUAUGAGGGGGCUCAAUACCCCAUUGCUAGUACCCGAUGGUUGGCAGAUGUCGCCAACGCAUUAUGCACCAGCAGAUGUCCCUAGGGGGAAAAGGUUAGGCUCGCGUCUUGUCUUCUGAAGGGUCAGACACGUGAUUGGUGGGAGGAGCUCGAGAGAGCCAUUGGAGAUGACACUGUGUUGGAUGCUAUGACCUGGAGUGAUUUUACGACCAGGUUCAGAGCUGAGUUCACAAUUGUUAUUGAGGUGCAGCAGGUUGCCAAGGAGUUCCAGGAUCUCCAGAAGACGACAGAGACUGUGGAGGAGAUUACCGCCAAGUUUAGGGAGAGGGCCCUCCUUGUUCUGCAGUAUGCGGCGGACGAGGAGAUGAAGAAGGCCCGAUAUCAUGAGAUGUUGCGGAGUGACAUCCUCCAGUUUGUGAGCCGAUCCAGCUGUAAGACGCUGGAAGAUAUGAUAGCGAGGGCUCGAGAGAGGGAGUUGGAUCUAGAGAUGGAGAGGAAGAGGAAGCCAGAGGGAGUUCAGACGGGGAGUUCGGGCAAGAAGCCCAAGGUAUCAGAUCACAGAUCUCGGAGUCAACAGGGCCACGGUCGUUAUGGAAAGUGUGGCAGGAUGCACAAGGGAGCAUGCACGGCAGGGAUUUUGGGCUGCUAUAAGUGCGGCCGAACUGGUCACAUGAGCCGAGAUUUUACAGCUACUACCACCACCACACCAACAUCAGAUCUGAUUUGCUUUCAGUGCAAUCAUAGGGGACACAAGCGGUCCCAGUGCCCGAGCUUAGUAGCAGCAGGGAAGCUGGUAGCACCUUCUCCUGCCACCUUGAGGAUUACAGACAGCCGUCAUGGCCGGGCUGAGGCGUCGACGGCGUGGAAUAGGGCCUUUCAGCUUACUGCAGAAAAGGCACGAGCAGCUCCUGACAUGGUAACGGGUAUGUAUUUUUCCUCUUAUCCCUAUAUUUGAUAUUGUAUAUGUCUCAUGGUUGUGUGUUUUUUAUAGGUUCGUUCUUAGUAAACGACAUUACAACUAUGGUAUUGUUUGAUUCGGGGGCUACCCGAUCUUUUAUGUCGCUCUCUCUUAGCAAGCGGUUUAGAAGAGCUCCGAGGGAGCUGGAUUAUCCACUUGACGUCGAGAUAGCGAAUGAAAAGACCAUCAGGGUCAGGAGAGUUCAUAGAGGUUGUACCCUUUGAUUAUUUGAUGAGCGGUUCCCAGUGGAUUUGGUUCCUAUUCCCCUGCAUGGGAAUAAAGUCAUAUUAGGUAUGGAUUAGUUGAGCCCCAAUGGGGCAGUGAUAGAUUACGAACAACAGUUGGUUAGAGUUCGCACUCCCAGUGGGGGAGAGUUAGUGAUUCAGGGCGAGAGGCCACAGCGCAGACCAGUUUUCUGCUCUGCAGCGAGAGCGAGACGUCACAUUCAGUAGAGCUAUGCGGGAUAUGUCGCGUAUGUCAUGGAUACCCGGGAUAAGGGUAAGGCGAUAGUCGAUGACGUACCAAUGGUACGAGAGUACCCGGAUGUAUUUCCGGAGGAUUUGCAUGGGAUACCUCCGGAGAGACAGGUUGAGUUUCGGAUUGACCUGGUCCUUGGUGCGGCUCCGAUAGCCAAGGCACCAUAUCGGUUGGCUCCUCCCGAGAUGUAGGAGUUGUCUACGUAGCUGCAAGAGCUGCUAGACAAAGGUUUUAUCAGGCCGAGCAGUUCGCCAUGGGGAGCCCCGAUUCUGUUUGUGAAGAAGAAGGACAGGUCGCACCAUAUGUGCAUAGCUUACCGGGAGUUGAAUAAGGUAACGGUGAAGAACCAUUACCCACUCCCGAGGAUAGAUGAUUUGUUCGACCAGCUUCAGGGAGCAUCUUGGUUUUCCAAGAUGGAUUUAUGAUCCGGAUAUCACCAGAUGCGGGUCAGAGAUGAGGAUGUGCAGAAGACCGCUUUUAGGACCCGCUAUCGUCAUUAUGAGUUUGUGGUGAUGUCAAUUGGUCUCACCAAUGCGCCGGCCGCGUUCAUGGAUCUCAGGAAUCGUGUGUGCAGACCGAUGUUGAAUCGGUCUAUAAUAGUAUUCAUUGAUGAUAUCUUGGUUUAUUCCAAGACUGAGGAGCAACACGAGGAACACCUGAAGGAGGUGCUAGAGACCUUGAGGAGGGAGAGACUUUUCGCAAAGUUCUCCAAGUGUGAGUUCUGGUUGCAUGAGGUGCAGUUUCUUGGGCACCUUGUCAACUAGAAGGGUAUAUUAGUAGAUCCGACCACGAUAGAGGUCGUGAUGCAGUGGGAGGUCCCGAGGUCUCCAUCUGAGAUUUGACGCUUCCUAUGCUUGGCAGGGUAUUAUAGGAGAUUUAUCCAGGAUUUCUCCAAGAUAGCAGUUCUGCUGACCCGAAUGACCAAGAAGUCGGUAGUGUUUCACUAGGGUCCUGAGUAGCGGACAACCUUUGAGACGCUCAUGCAACGACUGUGCGAGGCGCCGAUUCUUACCCUGCCAGAGGGAAUGGAUGACUUUGUAGUUUACUGUGACGCUUCGAUCAUAGGUUUGGGAGCAGUGUUGAUGCGACGGGGGCAUGUGAUAGCUUAUGCCUCAAGACAGUUGAAGCCUCACGAGGCUAACUACCCGACACAUGAUUUAGAGCUAAGGGCGGUAGUGUUCGCCCUUAAGAUUUGGCGGCAUUACCUCUAUGGGGUUCGGUGUACUAUCUACAUGGACCACAAGAGUCUGAGGUAUCUCAUGGAUCAGCCGAGCUUGAACAUGAGGCAGCGUAGGUGGUUAGAUGUGGUAAAGCACUAAGAUUGUAAGAUCCUUUACCACCUGGGCAAGGCCAACGUAGUGGCCGACGCCCUAAGCCACAAGGCGGUAGCGGCUCCAAUCCGAGAUGUAUGUCUGAGGAUGACAGUGAUUACUCCACUGCUGGAGCAGAUUAGAGAGGUGCAGGUUGAGGGCCUGAAGGGGGAGCGCCAGAGCGAAAGGAUAGUGGGCCGAGUGGCUUCGUUUGAUUACGACAGCCGAGGAUUAUUGACCCUGCAUGGGAGGGUCUGGGUACCAUACUGGGGCGGAGUACAGCAAGUGUUGAUGGAUGAGGCCCACAAGUCUUGGUUCUCCAUCCAUCCAGGGGUGAAGAAGAUGUAUAUGUUGGAUUAGUGUCUAAGUCCAUAACUAUUUUGGUAUGUACUUGACCCGAUGGUGCAUAGUCCUUUUAGGUUGCCUUCACCAAAGCAACUUGAUAGGAUGAAUUAUGGAGAGAAAGGAUUAAAUAUGAUUUAUUGAUAUAUUAUGAGAAUAAUAUAUUAAAGGAGAAAUCAUAUUGUUUAAUUAAUAUUAGUCAAGAAUUAAUUGGUAAUUAGUUUUGUGACUAAAAGAGAUUAAUUAAACUUAAGGGACUGGAAUUGUAAUUAUAAGAUAAUUGCAAUUUGGGCCAUGGAUUGCCUUUUAUUAUAAGGUGGACGAAUUCUAUGGGGGAAGCCCAUAUGAAAUCGUCCAAGGCCUUAAGGAAAGGGCUCCAUGGGUUGCUUAGGGCUUAAGCAUCCAAAUUAGGGUUUCCUUGUUAGAUAACCCUAAUAGCCUCACUAUAUAUAGAACCCUUAAGGCUCAAAAACGUGGACAAGCAACCUUCUAGGGUUUUCACACGUUUUGGGCAGCCUCCAUCCUCUCUCCUCUUCAUCCUCUUGCUUAUGGUGUUUGUGAACCAUUAGAGGAGUGACACUUGUGACUCUAAGCUUUCUAAAGUCAAUACAAGGAGAUUUGGGAUUGUUAUUGCUACAUAACAAUCAAGGUAACAUCUUAAACCUAUUCUCAUGUUAAUAUGAUUACUUGUAUGCUAGAAUUAGGGUUUAUAGUCUUGGAUAACUUGCAUGUACAAUAGAGAAACCUAGAUCCAAGCAUUAGGGUUUGUAUGAGCACAUAGGAUGUUCUUAGGACCAAAACCCAUCAGUGGUAUCCGAGCCUAGAUUGGUUUCUAUUGUAUUGAUGCUAUGUAUGUUGAAAAAAUUCGAUUUUUGUGUUUCUGGGGGCUGAACUCGUCGAGUUUUUUAAAUGAACUCGACGAGUUCAUGAUGAACUCGACGAGUCCAUGCCUAACUCGACGAGUCGGCUGGUCAGUGUGAGGGAAAACCGGGAUUUCUUGCUGUUUUUGCUUAAGGAUAGUUGCCUUAUCAUAUUAGAUCAAUAUAAAUCCGAUUUUAUGAUAUAUUUGACUAUAUUCUUGAUCUAAUUGAAGAUAUUUAUCAAUUAAUAAAAUAUUUGUUUCCUUAUGUGAUAAUUGAUUAAUUAUUUUGAUUAAAUUGGUAAAUUGUUUUGCAAGAAAUCAUUAAAUAAAUCAAAUAUGGAUAAUUAUGUGAUUAAAUGUUAAUUUAGAUUAUUUGUUAUUUGAUCCUUGUGCUUUGAAAAGUUUCAUAUUUUCCCCUUUAGGUUUUAUAGUUUAAAUUUGAACCCAAAAGUUUUGUUGUUUUGAAAUUUAAAUAGUUAAAACCCUAAUGUUUUGAAAAAGGUUUCAAAACUUGCCCUCAAGUUUUGGAAUUUAAAUUUUGAUUAAUUGUUUAAUUUUGAUGUAUAUUUAAAUUCUAAACCCUAAUGUUUUGAAAUGUUUCAAAACUUGCCCUCAAGUUUUGGAAUUUAAAAGUUGAUUAAAAGUUUAAUUAGGAAUGUUAAAUUCUAAAACCCUAGUAUUGUUUUGAAAAGUUCAAAUCACACCCUUAUGGUUUUAUUAAUUAAUUAAGGUGUAUAAUUAAAAGAGGUUUAAUAAAUCCAUAAAAGUUUAGGUUUACAAUUUAAUUGAAUUAAAAGUAUAAUUGUUAAAUUUGACCACCUAGUAUUUUAAAAGUGUAAAAUACACCCUAUACUAUAUAUAACAUUAAAAGUCUAACAUUAUAUAUAUGUAUGAGUAAAAGUCAGUCUUACCGUUAGUAGGCCUCAUUCACGAAGCUGGUCUAUAAGGGGUGUUUAAGGAAAUUGCCUAUAAAAUGGCGAUUGAAUGGGUAUCCACUCUUACCCACCGCACUCUUGACUAGUGGAGGGUCGUUAGCCGAACGGGUAGGAUAGGACGAAACCUUCCAUUAUAAGUAUAAUGAAUUACAAAAGUAACUAAAUGUUUUCCAAAUUCCCAAUCUUAGUUACUUAGGCAAAAGUGAAUUGAUGCAAUUCCAUGAAAUUACACUUUGUGCCCUUGCGAAGACGUUAGUGGAGCGUGUGUGGUUUACCGGCACACUAAAUGGUUCUAAGCAAAGGUAGCAAAGGGUGACUCAAUGUUUGUCAUAGUUCGGUGGAGCGUGUGUGGUUUACCGGCACAUCGAAUAGGUGACUGUAACAUGUGAGGGCACCAUGUAAGUUUGCAUGGUUAUUCACACCCGCUUUGUGAUCCUCGGCAUCCCAGUCACAAACAAGAGGGGCAUAUCGAGAUUUAAACAUGCCAUUGAAAGUUCAAUGAAUCUCAAAGGAUCUAGGAGUUUUCAUAGAUUUAAAACUUAAAUUUCUUUUUCGUUUUUCAUGGUGGAAAUUAGUGAAUCGUCAUUCACUUACCUUCAAAUAUUCUGCAAUUAGGGUUACGGCAUCCCUCUCCCGAGUUGUAGAAUAUUGUGUUGGGUCCUAGCCUUAGUAUCUCAUUUGGGUGAUUUACUAAGGACUCAAUCAAUCAACUAACUUGAAUUCGUUUUCUCCCGUUUUGUAGAUGUCAAAGUUCGACAACUAUGGUCUUCCCAAAUCCCGUGGAACAAGCAUUCCACAUGAAGAUGAUAUUCCACGAUUCGAUCGAGGAACAAGAAAUCAUGCUUCACUUCCUCCUCCUCCUCCAAUUAUUCUCCCUAACCCACAAGUUCAAAGGCUUGAAAAGUUCAAGAUCACUCAAGCCCUUUUGGCAAGUAAACAUAAAGAAGGAAAGUCGGUGUGUGCACACGUCCUAGGGAUGAAGUCACACAUUGAUAGGUUAAGAAUGUUGGGAUCCGUUGUCUGUGAGGAAAUGGCUGUUGAUUGGGUUCUUCAGUCACUUCCUAACUCAUAUAGUGAGUUCGUAAGAGAGUACUAUAUGAUGAACCGCGACGUGACCCUUAUAGAUCUCACCUAUAUGCUUAUUGCUGCUGAAUCAGCAAUGGUUUGGCGCAAUAGAAAAGCAAAGUUGAUUGGUGAAUCUGCCUUCAAGACCUCUAUGGAUAUAGACAAUGGCAACGAAAGACAUGCUAUGAUCGAAAAGUUUGAUCAUAAGAGAAAGGCAAUGUCUGAAGUAGUUCCAUGUCAUGUUCCAAAAGAGUCAAUUUGCUUUUAUUGCCAAGAGAAAGGGCAUUGGAGACGAAGCUGCCCCAUUUACCUAAGAGAUCUAAGAGAUGGGAGAGUCGAAACGUAUGGCUCUAAUAUAGGUAAAAUCCAUUAACUAACUCUUUUAAGCUUCUAUUCUAGAUUCUUAAUACAUAAUGUGAUAAGAUUACAAUUGAUGUUUUGUAGGAUCGAAGAAAAGAAAGGAAGCUUAAGGGAAGAAGUGAGCAGAAUCUAACCGUGAAGGAAUGGAUUUCGAUCGCAUUUCUCGAAGAUUAGAUUCUUGAGCUACUACUUAGAGUUAGAAUUAGAUUGCUAAGAAAGAUGUAUUAGCAUAGUUUUUCAAUGAAUUGCAUUGUAAGGACAAAUUUUUUCCGCAAUAAAAUAAAUUUUGAUUUUAUAUUAUUUAUUUAUCCUUGCAAUGGCGUAUAUGAAAAAUUGAUGUUUGAAUGUUUCUAUUAUUAGCAAUAAUGGAUUUGGUUCUUAUUAUGUUAUUUAUGGAAAGUCGAGAAUUUACCAAAUAGGGAGAGUUUCUCAUCGCCCAAGUUUCAAUUGGACAGAAACUUGGAAUCAUGCAACUUGGUUGCACGAUGAAUGAGAAAUUUCAUAUUUGGAAAUUAGACUAAUUCAUUGACAAAGUGUCAAGUGAAGGACUAGGAGAUCGAGUACACAAAGUUGCGUGUUGAUCAAGUCCACCAUAAGAGUAACAAAGAUAUUCGUCAUGAUUUACUAAAGGUUUAGUAAAUAUGAUUAUACUUAUAAGAUUAAGUGUAAUUCUGAAUUGAUUGAAAAAGUUUAAAUCAAUAGCAGAACGAAUAAGAAGAAUCAAGUAGGCAGAAAGAUAAAAGUUUCUCCAUUCUAAGAAGAAGGGAGAGUACCUUUUAUGCUUUAUGAUAGGUCUUAAUGAUUAAGAACCAUAUCUCAAUUGAUCCUCUAAGUGAGUCUUAGUACAAUUGUAUGUCUAAGAAGAGGAAUCAAGAAUUGAAGAAAUGGUUAAAUCAAGAAGUCAAUCAUACUUCGUUCCAAAACAAGUCUUAGAGUUAAGAUUGUGACAUUGAGUGAAAAGUAUUAAGAAGGUUUAUAACAUUCAUCAAAUGUGGAAAGUUGUGAUGUCUUGGAUAAGACAAAGACCAACUAGGACCAAUUUAUGAAGUGUUUUGAUAAAAGCUACACUAACUCUUGAAUAUUUGUUUGUCAAGAAAUGUUUAUUGACAAGAGAAUCUUAUAUGUCAAGGAGUCAGUGGGAGUCUUAAUGGUCUUGAAAGGUUUCAAGAACAAAUCAAAUAAACCUUAUCGAUCAUCACUAGCACACGAGUUGAGGUUUACAACCUAUCGUGUUGACAUUAUUUUGUUUCUGUGCCAAUCCAAUCGAGUUAAUUAUGCAUGUGAGUUCUAUGAGUUCUCAUUUUGAACGCAUAAAAGGCAAAGCACCUUAAUCAAUGAAAGGUACAUUGAUAGGAAAGGGUGAGCUGCUUAACUACUUGGAAGACAUGGUGGGCAGCUGUGCUACCAUAAGGCAAGAAAUCAAGAUUAAGAAAGUUCGGUCCAUAUGAGUUUGAAUUUGUCGUAAACUUUGGUUUUAACAAAUUCACAUGGAUAGGAACACAUACACCGUUUAAAUCUAAGUGUCAUAAGAUUUCCUCCUUCAUGAAAAUGAUUGUGAGGAAAUGCUUUCACUAAGAAAGAUUUUAAGAAGAUAGUGAUUGUAAAAUUGCAUUCUCGAAUUCGAUUAUGGUUACGGUAUCCCUUUCCAUAAUUUGAAUUGUGAGGUUUGGCAAUUAGUCUUAAUUGUUUAGACACACAUAUGAACUAUCGAAGGCAAAGGUGUAUAAGUUCAAGAAGCCUUGAUAAAAGAUUAUCAAAGCACUAAGUAUUAGAAACAUGAACUUAAGAAAUUCAAUAAGUAUUGUUUUUCUGAAAGUUAAGAUGUUUAUGAAUACAUGUCGAAGCUAGUGGGAGCAUAAGUGUUAUGUUUUAUAAUAAUCAUCAUGAUAGUGGGAGCAUAAAUGUUAUGAUUGUAUGAUUAUUAAGGCACGUAUUGCAAGUUGGCAAUAUUAAUUAUAGAAAACAAGAGUUAUACCUUGCAAAGUCGUAAGGGUUGUAAAGUUGUUUUGCUAUAAUUAAGGGAGAGAAUAUUAUGCUUCAUUUCAAAUCUAAAGGCUUAGGUUGAGAAAUGUUAAUAAAUUUAGUCAAAGGUACAUAGUGUGUUCUUAAAAUUUCGAUUAUGAUUACGGCAUUCCUCUUCACAAUUCGAAUUUUGAGAACAUAGCAAAUAAAACAUUAUGCGUCGUGUCCCAUACGCUUCGGGUAUAGGAUCGAUUGCAAAUGCUUUAAUGUUUGACCAUUCUAAAAUUUUCCAAAUGUCGAGCGCAUUUAGAGGGAAAAGGGACUAGAAUUGGUUUUGACUAAAAUAAUUAAACAACUAUCAAAGGACAAUCCAAAGUUCGACGAGGAUUGGUCGCUUGUGAGUAGUUGGAAGUAUAGUAUUGGAAAAUAUGGAAAUGUUUCCAUAUUGGAUGGACCAUAUCGACAUUAUUAUGAAUAGAUAAGAUUCUAUUAAGAAUGAGUUGUCAUAUGGAAAAUAUGGAAGCGUGUCCAUAUUGGGAAUUGAAUAUUGAGAAAUCUAUGACUAGAUUAGAAACUUCUAUGCAAAAGGAUGUUCAAAGAAUGUACUUUGAGUGAGAGACAUCACGUCUAUGGAAUUGUCUUGUAACAAUCUCCGAUAGAGGACUUUGUAAUAUCAUUGGCAAUAGUCUUUGUGACUUUGGUGCAGUGACAUUACGAAAGGAUAGUUGCAUAGAAUGUUAGAAUCUAGCAUAUUCUAUAAGUAGCAAGAAUUUGAUAUUCUUUCACUUAUGAAAAAGGGAUUUGGAGUUGUGAAAUGAGAAGGAUUGGAAAUGUGUUCAAUGUGAUCUAUUUCACAAAGUAAGAACCAUAGGUAAACAUUGUGUGCAUGCUAGGAGCAUGGGACAAGUGUUGGAAUUCAAGUAAGAAGUUGAUUACCCGAAACGACAAAUAAUGAGUAAUCAAUAUGGUGAUAAAUAAAAGGUGUUUUAUUUAUACUCAAAGGUUUGAGGCCAUAUGGGAUUAGUAUUAUUCUUGUGUUUCACAUUUGCAUGUUUUGACUUCCAGAAUAAUUGAGUUUAUUAAGAAUAAUCGAAUUAUUCAAACGGGCCACAGUCGUUCAUAUGUUGGAAGUAGAUAUGAAUGAAGACUGUCGUGAAUUGGUGUGUGGAUUGUCUAAAAGAGUAUUAGACAUAAGCAAAUGUUUGCUGCAACGUUCAUGAGUGCUUAUGAAUAUGAUUUGAGCAUUGGAUUAAACCCACGCUCACUUGGAUCACUCCAUGAAUUGUAUCACGAGUGAUUGGUGAGACGAUAACAUCUUAUAUUCUUGAAACCGAGAUGUGUGAGUUGUAUCUUGCAAAUCGGUUGCACAUUGAUAAUAUGUAAACGCACUAGUAACUUGGUGUUAUAAAACAUAUUGUUGUGUGUGAUUCGGUGAGUGAGUGCAAGCAAGCAUUGUAUCAAAGUUUAUCCGUUCCUUUUAUCCAAAGUAGGAUAAAAGCGAUAUCUUUGGGCCCCUCGAUGGUUUAGUGAUGACAAACGUAAAUGCUCGGCCGGGCUAGGGCUAAUUUGAUUUGUUCAAUUAGUCAGUCGUCAUAAAUCGGAAAUCGAGAUAUAGUACAAAGAGAAUGAUUUGAAAUCAUAUCUCAUAUGAUAUCUAGAAUGGAGGAAUAUAUGAUCCCUUAUCUAAGGACACGCGUAUCUGAUAUGAUCAGAGUUGACAGCGGCUUUGGAAAGCUACGAUUGCAGAUCGGGAUCCGAAGUCAUACGCAGAAUAGUUGUUAGACUUAUCCAAGUGGGAGACUGUUGGAUUAGUGUCUAAGUCCAUAACUAUUUUGGUAUGUACUUGACCCGAUGGUGCAUGGUCCUUUUGGGUUGCCUUCACCAAAGCAACUUGAUUGGAGAAAUAAAUAGAGAGAGAGGUUAUUAUGAUUUAUUAAUAUGUUAUAAGAAUAAUAUAUUAAAGGAGAAAUCAUAUUUGUUUAAUUAAUAUUGGUCAAUAAUUAAUUAAGAAUUAAUUUUGUGAUCAAGUGUAAUUAAUUAAACUAGAGGGGCUGAAUUGUAAUUAUGUGAUAGUUACAAAAUAAGGUAAGGAUUAUCUUAUAUAUAUGGUGAACGAAUUUGAGGUGUAAAUCCCUUAGAAUUCGACUAGGAUAAGGGUUUCUAGGACUUAUCUUAUGGUUGCUUGGUGGACAAGCAACUAGAUAAGGAUAAGGACUAAAACCCUAAUCUUUACACCUAUAUAAACCCCCUAAGGCUUAUGAAUUCGUCCAACCCUUCCCAAGAGGUCCUAAGGACGAAUUCUAACCUCCCUCCUCUCUCUUUAUACCUUCUCCACUUGCUUAUGGUGUUUGUAAGCCAUUAGAGGAGUGACACUUGUGACUCUCAGCUUUCCAAGGUCAAUUCAAGGAGGAAUUGGAUUGUUAUUGCUAUAUAACAAUCAAGGUAUGUUCUUAAACCUAAUUACAUGUGAAUUCUGAUUUCCAUAUGCUAGAAUUAGGGUUCAAAGUCUUGGAUUCAAAGUAUGUACAAUAGAGAAACCUAGAUCCAAGCUUUAGGGUUUGUAUGAGCACAUAGGAUGUCUUAUGACCAAAACCCAUCAGUGGUAUCAGAGCCAUGAUUGGUUUCUAUUGUAUUGAUGCUUGAUGUAACUGAAAAUCGUGUUUUGGCCUCACUGUUCGACCUGACUCGGCGAGUCACUCUUGGACUCGGCGAGUCAGCCCUACUCGGCGAGUUCCAGAGGGUGACUCGGCGAGUCGGUGCGUCAGACAGUGCUUAUCUCGGGAUUUCUUGCUGUUUUUGCAUUGGGAUAAUUACCUUAUCAUGUUAGAUUAAUAUUAAUCCGAUUAUAUGAUAUAUUUGACUAUAUUUUUAAUCUAAUUGAAGAUAUUUAUCAAUUAAUAAGAUAAUUGUUUCCUUAUAAGAUAAUUGAUUAAUUAUUUUAAGUAAAUUGAUAAAUUAUUUUGCAAGAAAUCAUCAAAUAUGGAUAAUUAUGUGAUUAAAUGUUAAUUUGAAUUAUUUGUUAUUUGAUCCUUGUUGUUGUGAAAAGUUUCAUAUUUGGCCCUUUAGGUUUUAUAGUUUAAAUUUGAACCCCAAAAGUUUUGUUGUUUUGAAAUUUAAAUAGUUGAAACCCUAAUGUUUUGAAAAAGGUUUCAAAACUUGCCCUCAAGUUUUGGAAUUUAAAUUUUGAUUAAAUAGUUUAAUUUUGAUGCAUAUUUAAAUUCUAAACCCUAAUGUGUUGAAAUGUUUCAAAACUUGCCCUCAAGUUUUGGAAUUUAAAAGUUGAUUAAAAGUUUAAUUAGGAAUGUUAAAUUCUAAAACUCUAGUAUAGUUUUGAAAAAGUUCAAAUCACACCCUUAUGGUUUUAUUAAUUAAUUAAGGUGUAUAAUUAAAAGAGGUUUAAUAAAUCCAUAAAAGUUUAGGUUUACAAUUUAAUUGAAUUAAAAGUAUAAUUGUUAAAUUAGACCACCUAGUAUUUUAAAAGUAUAAAAUACACCCUAUACUAUAUAUAACAUUAAAAGUCUAACAUUAUAUAUAUGUAUGAGUAAAAGUCAGUCUUACCGUUAGUAGGCCUCAUUCACGAAGCUGGUCUAUAAGGGGUGUUUAAGGAAAUUGCCUAUAAAAUGGCGAUUGAAUGGGUAUCCACUCUUACCCACCGCACUCUUGACUAGUGGAGGGUCGUUAGCCGAACGGGUAGGAUAGGACGAAACCUUCCAUUAUAAGUAUAAUGAAUUAUUAAAGUAACUAAAUGUUUUCAUAAAAUUCCCAAUCUUAGUUACUUAGGCAAAAGUGAAUUGAUGCAAUUCCAUGAAAUUACACUUUGUGCCCUUGCGAAGACGUUAGUGGAGCGUGUGUGGUUAACCGGCACACUAAAUGGUUCUAAGCAAAGGUAGCAAAGGGUGACUCAAUGUUUGUCAUAGUUCGGUGGAGCGUGUGUGGUUUACCGGCACAUCGAAUAGGUGACUGUAACAUGUGAGGGCACCAUGUAAGUUUGCAUGGUUAUUCACACCCGCUUUGUGAUCCUCGGCAUCCCAGUCACAAACAAGAGGGGCAUAUCGAGAUUUAAACAUGCCAUUGAAAGUUCAAUGAAUCUCAAAGGAUCUAGGAGUUUUCAUAGAUUUAAAACUUAAAUUUCUUUUUCGUUUUUCAUGGUGGAAAUUAGUGAAUCGUCAUUCACUUACCUUCAAAUAUUCUGCAAUUAGGGUUACGGCAUCCCUCUCCCGAGUUGUAGAAUAUUGUGUUGGGUCCUAGCCUUAGUAUCUCAUUUGGGUGAUUUACUAAGGACUCAAUCAAUCAACUAACUUGAAUUCGUUUUCUCCCGUUUUGUAGAUGUCAAAGUUCGACAACUAUGGUCUUCCCAAAUCCCGUGGAACAAGCAUUCCACAUGAAGAUGAUAUUCCACGAUUCGAUCGAGGAACAAGAAAUCAUGCUUCACUUCCUCCUCCUCCUCCAAUUAUUCUCCCUAACCCACAAGUUCAAAGGCUUGAAAAGUUCAAGAUCACUCAAGCCCUUUUGGCAAGUAAACAUAAAGAAGGAAAGUCGGUGUGUGCACACGUCCUAGGGAUGAAGUCACACAUUGAUAGGUUAAGAAUGUUGGGAUCCGUUGUCUGUGAGGAAAUGGCUGUUGAUUGGGUUCUUCAGUCACUUCCUAACUCAUAUAGUGAGUUCGUAAGAGAGUACUAUAUGAUGAACCGCGACGUGACCCUUAUAGAUCUCACCUAUAUGCUUAUUGCUGCUGAAUCAGCAAUGGUUUGGCGCAAUAGAAAAGCAAAGUUGAUUGGUGAAUCUGCCUUCAAGACCUCUAUGGAUAUAGACAAUGGCAACGAAAGACAUGCUAUGAUCGAAAAGUUUGAUCAUAAGAGAAAGGCAAUGUCUGAAGUAGUUCCAUGUCAUGUUCCAAAAGAGUCAAUUUGCUUUUAUUGCCAAGAGAAAGGGCAUUGGAGACGAAGCUGCCCCAUUUACCUAAGAGAUCUAAGAGAUGGGAGAGUCGAAACGUAUGGCUCUAAUAUAGGUAAAAUCCAUUAACUAACUCUUUUAAGCUUCUAUUCUAGAUUCUUAAUACAUAAUGUGAUAAGAUUACAAUUGAUGUUUUGUAGGAUCGAAGAAAAGAAAGGAAGCUUAAGGGAAGAAGUGAGCAGAAUCUAACCGUGAAGGAAUGGAUUUCGAUCGCAUUUCUCGAAGAUUAGAUUCUUGAGCUACUACUUAGAGUUAGAAUUAGAUUGCUAAGAAAGAUGUAUUAGCAUAGUUUUUCAAUGAAUUGCAUUGUAAGGACAAAUUUUUUCCGCAAUAAAAUAAAUUUUGAUUUUAUAUUAUUUAUUUAUCCUUGCAAUGGCGUAUAUGAAAAAUUGAUGUUUGAAUGUUUCUAUUAUUAGCAAUAAUGGAUUUGGUUCUUAUUAUGUUAUUUAUGGAAAGUCGAGAGUUUACCAAAUAGGGAGAGUUUCUCAUCGCCCAAGUUUCAAUUGGACAGAAACUUGGAAUCAUGCAACUUGGUUGCACGAUGAAUGAGAAAUUUCAUAUUUGGAAAUUAGACUAAUUCAUUGACAAAGUGUCAAGUGAAGGACUAGGAGAUCGAGUACACAAAGUUGCGUGUUGAUCAAGUCCACCAUAAGAGUAACAAAGAUAUUCGUCAUGAUUUACUAAAGGUUUAGUAAAUAUGAUUAUACUUACAAGAUUAAGUGUAAUUCUGAAUUGAUUGAAAAAGUUUAAAUCAAUAGCAGAACGAAUAAGAAGAAUCAAGUAGGCAGAAAGAUAAAAGUUUCUCCAUUCUAAGAAGAAGGGAGAGUACCUUUUAUGCUUUAUGAUAGGUCUUAAUGAUUAAGAACCAUAUCUCAAUUGAUCCUCUAAGUGAGUCUUAGUACAAUUGUAUGUCUAAGAAGAGGAAUCAAGAAUUGAAGAAAUGGUUAAAUCAAGAAGUCAAUCAUACUUCGUUCCAAAACAAGUCUUAGAGUUAAGAUUGUGACAUUGAGUGAUAAGUAUUAAGAAGGUUUAUAACAUUCAUCAAAUGUGGAAAGUUGUGAUGUCUUGGAUAAGACAAAGACCAACUAGGACCAAUUUAUGAAGUGUUUUGAUAAAAACUACACUAACUCUUGAAUAUUUGUUUGUCAAGAAAUGUUUAUUGACAAGAGAAUCUUAUAUGUCAAGGAGUCAGUGGGAGUCUUAAUGGUCUUGAAAGGUUUCAAGAACAAAUCAAAAUAAACCUUAUCGAUCAUCACUAGCACACGAGUUGAGGUUUACAACCUAUCGUGUUGACAUUAUUUUGUUUCUGUGCCAUUCCAAUUGAGUUAAUUAUGCAUGUGAGUUCUAUGAGUUCUCAUUUGAAUGCAUAAAAGGCAAGGACCUUGAUCAAUGAAAAGUACAUUGAUAGGAAAGGGUGAGCUGCUUAACUACUUGGAAGACAUGGUGGGCAGCUGUGCUACCAUAAGGCAAGAAAUCAAGAUUAAGAAAGUUCGGUCCAUAUGAGUUUGAAUUUGUCGUAAACUUUGGUUUUAACAAAUUCACAUGGAUAGGAACACAUACACCGUUUAAAUCUAAGUGUCAUAAGAUUUCCUCCUUCAUGAAAAUGAUUGUGAGGAAAUGCUUUCACUAAGAAAGAUUUUAAGAAGAUAGUGAUUGUAAAAUUGCAUUCUCGAAUUCGAUUAUGGUUACGGUAUCCCUUUCCAUAAUUUGAAUUGUGAGGUUUGGCAAUUAGUCUUAAUUGUUUAGACACACAUAUGAACUAUCGAAGGCAAAGGUGUAUAAGUUCAAGAAGCCUUGAUAAAAGAUUAUCAAAGCACUAAGUAUUAGAAACAUGAACUUAAGAAAUUCAAUAAGUAUUGUUUUUCUGAAAGUUAAGAUGUUUAUGAAUACAUGUCGAAGCUAGUGGGAGCAUAAGUGUUAUGUUUUAUAAUAAUCAUCAUGAUAGUGGGAGCAUAAAUGUUAUGAUUGUAUGAUUAUUAAGGCACGUAUUGCAAGUUGGCAAUAUUAAUUAUAGAAAACAAGAGUUAUACCUUGCAAAGUCGUAAGGGUUGUAAAGUUGUUUUGCUAUAAUUAAGGGAGAGAAUAUUAUGCUUCAUUUCAAAUCUAAAGGCUUAGGUUGAGAAAUGUUAAUAAAUUUAGUCAAAGGUACAUAGUGUGUUCUUAAAAUUUCGAUUAUGAUUACGGCAUUCCUCUUCACAAUUCGAAUUUUGAGAACAUAGCAAAUAAAACAUUAUGCGUCGUGUCCCAUACGCUUCGGGUAUAGGAUCGAUUGCAAAUGCUUUAAUGUUUGACCAUUCUAAAAUUUUCCAAAUGUCGAGCGCAUUUAGAGGGAAAAGGGACUAGAAUUGGUUUUGACUAAAAUAAUUAAACAACUAUCAAAGGACAAUCCAAAGUUCGACGAGGAUUGGUCGCUUGUGAGUAGUUGGAAGUAUAGUAUUGGAAAAUAUGGAAAUGUUUCCAUAUUGGAUGGACCAUAUCGACAUCAUUACGAAUAGAUAAGAUUCUAUUAAGAAUGAGUUGUCAUAUGGAACAUAUGGAAGUGUGUCCAUAUUGGGAAUUGAAUAUUGAGAAAUCUAUGACUAGAUUAGAAACUUCUAUGCAAAAGGAUGUUCAAAGAAUGUACUUUGAGUGAGAGACAUCACGUCUAUGGAAUUGUCUUGUAACAAUCUCCGAUAGAGGACUUUGUAAUAUCAUUGGCAAUAGUCUUUGUGACUUUGGUGCAGUGACAUUACGAAAGGAUAGUUGCAUAGAAUGUUAGAAUCUAGCAUAUUCUAUAAGUAGCAAGAAUUUGAUAUUCUUUGACUUAUGAAAAACGGAUUUGGAGUUGUGAAAUGAGAAGGAUUGGAAAUGUGUUCAAUGUGAUCUAUUUCACAAAGUAAGAACCAUAGGUAAACAUUGUGUGCAUGCUAGGAGCAUGGGACAAGUGUUGGAAUUCAAGUAAGAAGUUGAUUACCCGAAACGACAAAUAAUGAGUAAUCAAUAUGGUGAUAAAUAAAAGGUGUUUUAUUUAUACUCAAAGGUUUGAGGCCAUAUGGGAUUAGUAUUAUUCUUGUGUUUCACAUUUGCAUGUUUUGACUUCCAGAAUAAUUGAGUUUAUUAAGAAUAAUCGAAUUAUUCAAACGGGCCACAGUCGUUCAUAUGUUGGAAGUAGAUAUGAAUGAAGACUGUCGUGAAUUGGUGUGUGGAUUGUCUAAAAGAGUAUUAGACAUAAGCAAAUGUUUGCUGCAACGUUCAUGAGUGCUUAUGAAUAUGAUUUGAGCAUUGGAUUAAACCCACGCUCACUUGGAUCACUCCAUGAAUUGUAUCACGAGUGAUUGGUGAGACGAUAACAUCUUAUAUUCUUGAAACCGAGAUGUGUGAGUUGUAUCUUGCAAAUCGGUUGCACAUUGAUAAUAUGUAAACGCACUAGUAACUUGGUGUUAUAAAACAUAUUGUUGUGUGUGAUUCGGUGAGUGAGUGCAAGCAAGCAUUGUAUCAAAGUUUAUCCGUUCCUUUUAUCCAAAGUAGGAUAAAAGCGAUAUCUUUGGGCCCCUCGAUGGUUUAGUGAUGACAAACGUAAAUGCUCGGCCGGGCUAGGGCUAAUUUGAUUUGUUCAAUUAGUCAGUCGUCAUAAAUCGGAAAUCGAGAUAUAGUACAAAGAGAAUGAUUUGAAAUCAUAUCUCAUAUGAUAUCUAGAAUGGAGGAAUAUAUGAUCCCUUAUCUAAGGACACGCGUAUCUGAUAUGAUCAGAGUUGACAGCGGCUUUGGAAAGCUACGAUUGCAGAUCGGGAUCCGAAGUCAUACGCAGAAUAGUUGUUAGACUUAUCCAAGUGGGAGACUGUUGGAUUAGUGUCUAAGUCCAUAACUAUUUUGGUAUGUACUUGACCCGAUGGUGCAUGGUCCUUUUGGGUUGCCUUCACCAAAGCAACUUGAUUGGAGAAAUAAAUAGAGAGAGAGGUUAUUAUGAUUUAUUAAUAUGUUAUAAGAAUAAUAUAUUAAAGGAGAAAUCAUAUUUGUUUAAUUAAUAUUGGUCAAUAAUUAAUUAAGAAUUAAUUUUGUGAUCAAGUGUAAUUAAUUAAACUAGAGGGGCUGAAUUGUAAUUAUGUGAUAGUUACAAAAUAAGGUAAGGAUUAUCUUAUAUAUAUGGUGAACGAAUUUGAGGUGUAAAUCCCUUAGAAUUCGACUAGGAUAAGGAUUUCUAGGACUUAUCUUAUGGUUGCUUGGUGGACAAGCAACUAGAUAAGGAUAAGGACUAAAACCCUAAUCUUUACACCUAUAUAAACCCCCUAAGGCUUAUGAAUUCGUCCAACCCUUCCCAAGAAGUCCUAAGGACGAAUUCUAACCUCCCUCCUCUCUCUUUAUACCUUCUCCACUUGCUUAUGGUGUUUGUAAGCCAUUAGAGGAGUGACACUUGUGACUCUCAGCUUUCCAAGGUCAAUUCAAGGAGGAAUUGGAUUGUUAUUGCUAUAUAACAAUCAAGGUAUGUUCUUAAACCUAAUUACAUGUGAAUUCUGAUUUCCAUAUGCUAGAAUUAGGGUUCAAAGUCUUGGAUUCAAAGUAUGUACAAUAGAGAAACCUAGAUCCAAGCUUUAGGGUUUGUAUGAGCACAUAGGAUGUCUUAUGACCAAAACCCAUCAGUGGUAUCAGAGCCUUGAUUGGUUUCUAUUGUAUUGAUGCUUGAUGUAACUGAAAAUCGUGUUUUGGCCUCACUGUUCGACCUGACUCGGCGAGUCACUCUUGGACUCGGCGAGUCAGCCCUACUCGGCGAGUUCCAGAGGGUGACUCGGCGAGUCGGUGCGUCAGACAGUGCUUAUCUCGGGAUUUCUUGCUGUUUUUGCAUUGGGAUAAUUACCUUAUCAUGUUAGAUUAAUAUUAAUCCGAUUAUAUGAUAUAUUUGACUAUAUUUUUAAUCUAAUUGAAGAUAUUUAUCAAUUAAUAAGAUAAUUGUUUCCUUAUAAGAUAAUUGAUUAAUUAUUUUAAGUAAAUUGAUAAAUUAUUUUGCAAGAAAUCAUCAAAUAUGGAUAAUUAUGUGAUUAAAUGUUAAUUUGAAUUAUUUGUUAUUUGAUCCUUGUUGUUGUGAAAAGUUUCAUAUUUGGCCCUUUAGGUUUUAUAGUUUAAAUUUGAACCCCAAAAGUUUUGUUGUUUUGAAAUUUAAAUAGUUGAAACCCUAAUGUUUUGAAAAAGGUUUCAAAACUUGCCCUCAAGUUUUGGAAUUUAAAUUUUGAUUAAAUAGUUUAAUUUUGAUGCAUAUUUAAAUUCUAAACCCUAAUGUGUUGAAAUGUUUCAAAACUUGCCCUCAAGUUUUGGAAUUUAAAAGUUGAUUAAAAGUUUAAUUAGGAAUGUUAAAUUCUAAAACUCUAGUAUAGUUUUGAAAAAGUUCAAAUCACACCCUUAUGGUUUUAUUAAUUAAUUAAGGUGUAUAAUUAAAAGAGGUUUAAUAAAUCCAUAAAAGUUUAGGUUUACAAUUUAAUUGAAUUAAAAGUAUAAUUGUUAAAUUAGACCACCUAGUAUUUUAAAAGUAUAAAAUACACCCUAUACUAUAUAUAACAUUAAAAGUCUAACAUUAUAUAUAUGUAUGAGUAAAAGUCAGUCUUACCGUUAGUAGGCCUCAUUCACGAAGCUGGUCUAUAAGGGGUGUUUAAGGAAAUUGCCUAUAAAAUGGCGAUUGAAUGGGUAUCCACUCUUACCCACCGCACUCUUGACUAGUGGAGGGUCGUUAGCCGAACGGGUAGGAUAGGACGAAACCUUCCAUUAUAAGUAUAAUGAAUUAUUAAAGUAACUAAAUGUUUUCAUAAAAUUCCCAAUCUUAGUUACUUAGGCAAAAGUGAAUUGAUGCAAUUCCAUGAAAUUACACUUUGUGCCCUUGCGAAGACGUUAGUGGAGCGUGUGUGGUUAACCGGCACACUAAAUGGUUCUAAGCAAAGGUAGCAAAGGGUGACUCAAUGUUUGUCAUAGUUCGGUGGAGCGUGUGUGGUUUACCGGCACAUCGAAUAGGUGACUGUAACAUGUGAGGGCACCAUGUAAGUUUGCAUGGUUAUUCACACCCGCUUUGUGAUCCUCGGCAUCCCAGUCACAAACAAGAGGGGCAUAUCGAGAUUUAAACAUGCCAUUGAAAGUUCAAUGAAUCUCAAAGGAUCUAGGAGUUUUCAUAGAUUUAAAACUUAAAUUUCUUUUUCGUUUUUCAUGGUGGAAAUUAGUGAAUCGUCAUUCACUUACCUUCAAAUAUUCUGCAAUUAGGGUUACGGCAUCCCUCUCCCGAGUUGUAGAAUAUUGUGUUGGGUCCUAGCCUUAGUAUCUCAUUUGGGUGAUUUACUAAGGACUCAAUCAAUCAACUAACUUGAAUUCGUUUUCUCCCGUUUUGUAGAUGUCAAAGUUCGACAACUAUGGUCUUCCCAAAUCCCGUGGAACAAGCAUUCCACAUGAAGAUGAUAUUCCACGAUUCGAUCGAGGAACAAGAAAUCAUGCUUCACUUCCUCCUCCUCCUCCAAUUAUUCUCCCUAACCCACAAGUUCAAAGGCUUGAAAAGUUCAAGAUCACUCAAGCCCUUUUGGCAAGUAAACAUAAAGAAGGAAAGUCGGUGUGUGCACACGUCCUAGGGAUGAAGUCACACAUUGAUAGGUUAAGAAUGUUGGGAUCCGUUGUCUGUGAGGAAAUGGCUGUUGAUUGGGUUCUUCAGUCACUUCCUAACUCAUAUAGUGAGUUCGUAAGAGAGUACUAUAUGAUGAACCGCGACGUGACCCUUAUAGAUCUCACCUAUAUGCUUAUUGCUGCUGAAUCAGCAAUGGUUUGGCGCAAUAGAAAAGCAAAGUUGAUUGGUGAAUCUGCCUUCAAGACCUCUAUGGAUAUAGACAAUGGCAACGAAAGACAUGCUAUGAUCGAAAAGUUUGAUCAUAAGAGAAAGGCAAUGUCUGAAGUAGUUCCAUGUCAUGUUCCAAAAGAGUCAAUUUGCUUUUAUUGCCAAGAGAAAGGGCAUUGGAGACGAAGCUGCCCCAUUUACCUAAGAGAUCUAAGAGAUGGGAGAGUCGAAACGUAUGGCUCUAAUAUAGGUAAAAUCCAUUAACUAACUCUUUUAAGCUUCUAUUCUAGAUUCUUAAUACAUAAUGUGAUAAGAUUACAAUUGAUGUUUUGUAGGAUCGAAGAAAAGAAAGGAAGCUUAAGGGAAGAAGUGAGCAGAAUCUAACCGUGAAGGAAUGGAUUUCGAUCGCAUUUCUCGAAGAUUAGAUUCUUGAGCUACUACUUAGAGUUAGAAUUAGAUUGCUAAGAAAGAUGUAUUAGCAUAGUUUUUCAAUGAAUUGCAUUGUAAGGACAAAUUUUUUCCGCAAUAAAAUAAAUUUUGAUUUUAUAUUAUUUAUUUAUCCUUGCAAUGGCGUAUAUGAAAAAUUGAUGUUUGAAUGUUUCUAUUAUUAGCAAUAAUGGAUUUGGUUCUUAUUAUGUUAUUUAUGGAAAGUCGAGAGUUUACCAAAUAGGGAGAGUUUCUCAUCGCCCAAGUUUCAAUUGGACAGAAACUUGGAAUCAUGCAACUUGGUUGCACGAUGAAUGAGAAAUUUCAUAUUUGGAAAUUAGACUAAUUCAUUGACAAAGUGUCAAGUGAAGGACUAGGAGAUCGAGUACACAAAGUUGCGUGUUGAUCAAGUCCACCAUAAGAGUAACAAAGAUAUUCGUCAUGAUUUACUAAAGGUUUAGUAAAUAUGAUUAUACUUAUAAGAUUAAGUGUAAUUCUGAAUUGAUUGAAAAAGUUUAAAUCAAUAGCAGAACGAAUAAGAAGAAUCAAGUAGGCAGAAAGAUAAAAGUUUCUCCAUUCUAAGAAGAAGGGAGAGUACCUUUUAUGCUUUAUGAUAGGUCUUAAUGAUUAAGAACCAUAUCUCAAUUGAUCCUCUAAGUGAGUCUUAGUACAAUUGUAUGUCUAAGAAGAGGAAUCAAGAAUUGAAGAAAUGGUUAAAUCAAGAAGUCAAUCAUACUUCGUUCCAAAACAAGUCUUAGAGUUAAGAUUGUGACAUUGAGUGAUAAGUAUUAAGAAGGUUUAUAACAUUCAUCAAAUGUGGAAAGUUGUGAUGUCUUGGAUAAGACAAAGACCAACUAGGACCAAUUUAUGAAGUGUUUUGAUAAAAACUACACUAACUCUUGAAUAUUUGUUUGUCAAGAAAUGUUUAUUGACAAGAGAAUCUUAUAUGUCAAGGAGUCAGUGGGAGUCUUAAUGGUCUUGAAAGGUUUCAAGAACAAAUCAAAAAAACCUUAUCGAUCAUCACUAGCACACGAGUUGAGGUUUACAACCUAUCGUGUUGACAUUAUUUUGUUUCUGUGCCAAUCCAAUCGAGUUAAUUAUGCAUGUGAGUUCUAUGAGUUCUCAUUUGAAUGCAUAAAAGGCAAGGACCUUGAUCAAUGGAAAGUACAUUGAUAAGAAAAGGUGAGCUGCUUAACUACUUGGAAGACAUGGUGGGCAGCUGUGCUACCAUAAGGCAAGAAAUCAAGAUUAAGAAAGUUCGGUCCAUAUGAGUUUGAAUUUGUCGUAAACUUUGGUUUUGACAAAUUCACAUGGAUAGGAACACAUACACCAUUAAAAUCUAAGUGUCAUAAGAUUCCCUCCUUCAUGAAAAUGACUGUGAGGAAAUGCUUUCACUAAGAGAGAUUUUAAGAAGAUAGUGAUUGUGAAAUUGUAUUCUCGAAUUCGAUUAUGGUUACGGUAUCCCUUUCCAUAAUUUGAAUUGUGAGGUUUGGCAAUUAGUCUUAAUUGUUUAGACACACAUAUGAACUAUCGAAGGCAAAUGUGUAUAAGUUCAAGAAGCCUUGAUAAAAGAUUAUCAAAGCACUAAGUAUUAGAAACAUGAACUUAAGAAAUUCAAUAAGUAUUGUUUUUCUGAAAGUUAAGAUGUUUAUGAAUACAUGUCGAAGCUAGUGGGAGCAUAAGUGUUAUGUUUUAUAAUAAUCAUCAUGAUAGUGGGAGCAUAAAUGUUAUGAUUGUAUGAUUAUUAAGGAAAGUAUUGCAAGUUAGCAAUAUUAAUUAUAGAAAACAAGAGUCAUUCUUUGCAAAGUUGUAAGGAUGGAAUAGUUGUUUUGCUAUAAUUAAGGGAGAGAAUAUUAUGCUUCAUUUCAAAUCUAAAGGCUUAGGUUGAGAAAUGUUAAUAAAUUUAGUCAAAGGUACAUAGUGUGUUCUUAAAAUUUCGAUUAUGAUUACGGCAUUCCUCUUCACAAUUCGAAUUUUGAGAACAUAGCAAAUAAAACAUUAUGCGUCGUGUCCCAUACGCUUCGGGUAUAGGAUCGAUUGCAAAUGCUUUAAUGUUUGACCAUUCUAAAAUUUUCCAAAUGUCGAGCGCAUUUAGAGGGAAAAGGGACUAGAAUUGGUUUUGACUAAAAUAAUUAAACAACUAUCAAAGGACAAUCCAAAGUUCGACGAGGAUUGGUCGCUUGUGAGUAGUUGGAAGUAUAGUAUUGGAAAAUAUGGAAAUGUUUCCAUAUUGGAUGGACCAUAUCGACAUCAUUACGAAUAGAUAAGAUUCUAUUAAGAAUGAGUUGUCAUAUGGAACAUAUGGAAGUGUGUCCAUAUUGGGAAUUGAAUAUUGAGAAAUCUAUGACUAGAUUAGAAACUUCUAUGCAAAAGGAUGUUCAAAGAAUGUACUUUGAGUGAGAGACAUCACGUCUAUGGAAUUGUCUUGUAACAAUCUCCGAUAGAGGACUUUGUAAUAUCAUUGGCAAUAGUCUUUGUGACUUUGGUGCAGUGACAUUACGAAAGGAUAGUUGCAUAGAAUGUUAGAAUCUAGCAUAUUCUAUAAGUAGCAAGAAUUUGAUAUUCUUUCACUUAUGAAAAAGGAUUUGGAGUUGUGAAAUGAGAAUGAUUGGAAAUGUGUUCAAUGUGAUCUAUUUCACAAAGUAAGAACCAUAGGUAAACAUUGUGUGCAUGCUAGGAGCAUGGGACAAGUGUUGUAAUUCAAGUAAGAAGUUGAUUACCCGAAACGACAAAUAAUGAGUAAUCAAUAUGGUGAUAAAUAAAAGGUGUUUUAUUUAUACUCAAAGGUUUGAGGCCAUAUGGGAUUAGUAUUAUUCUUGUGUUUCACAUUUGCAUGUUUUGACUUCCAGAAUAAUUGAGUUUAUUAAGAAUAAUCGAAUUAUUCAAACGGGCCACAGUCGUUCAUAUGUUGGAAGUAGAUAUGAAUGAAGACUGUCGUGAAUUGGUGUGUGGAUUGUCUAAAAGAGUAUUAGACAUAAGCAAAUGUUUGCUGCAACGUUCAUGAGUGCUUAUGAAUAUGAUUUGAGCAUUGGAUUAAACCCACGCUCACUUGGAUCACUCCAUGAAUUGUAUCACGAGUGAUUGGUGAGACGAUAACAUCUUAUAUUCUUGAAACCGAGAUGUGUGAGUUGUAUCUUGCAAAUCGGUUGCACAUUGAUAAUAUGUAAACGCACUAGUAACUUGGUGUUAUAAAACAUAUUGUUGUGUGUGAUUCGGUGAGUGAGUGCAAGCAAGCAUUGUAUCAAAGUUUAUCCGUUCCUUUUAUCCAAAGUAGGAUAAAAGCGAUAUCUUUGGGCCCCUCGAUGAUUUAGUGAUGACAAACGUAAAUGCUCGGCCGGGCUAGGGCUAAUUUGAUUUGUUCAAUUAGUCAGUCGUCAUAAAUCGGGAAUCGAGAUAUAGUACAAAGAGAAUGAUUUGAAAUCAUAUCUCAUAUGAUAUCUAGAAUGGAGGAAUAUAUGAUCCCUUAUCUAAGGACACGCGUAUCUGAUAUGAUCAGAGUUGACAGCGGCUUUGGAAAGCUACGAUUGCAGAUCAGGAUCUGAAGUCAUACGCAGAAUAGUUAUUAGACUUAUCCAAGUGGGAGACUGUUGGAUUAGUGUCUAAGUCCAUAACUAUUUUGGUAUGUACUUGACCCGAUGGUGCAUGGUCCUUUUGGGUUGCCUUCACCAAAGCAACUUGAUAGGAUGAAUUAUGGAGAGAAAGGAUUAAAUAUGAUUUAUUAAUAUAUUAUGAGAAUAAUAUAUUAAAGGAGAAAUCAUAUUGUUUAAUUAAUAUUAGUCAAUAAUUAAUUGGUAAUUAGUUUUGUGACUAAAAGAGAUUAAUUAAACUUAAGGGACUGGAAUUGUAAUUAUAAGAUAAUUGCAAUUUGGGCCAUGGAUUGCCUUAUAUUAUAAGGUGGACGAAUUCUAUGGGGGAAGCCCAUAUGAAAUCGUCCAAGGCCUUAAGGAAAGGGCUCCAUGGGUUGCUUAGGGCUUAAGCAACCAAAUUAGGGUUUCCUUGUUAGAUAACCCUAAUAGCCUCACUAUAUAUAGAACCCUUAAGGCUCAAAAACGUGGGGAACUUCUUUUCUAGGGUUAGAACACGUUUUGGGCAGCCUCCAUCCUCUCUCCUCUUCAUCCUCUUGCUUAUGGUGUUUGUGAACCAUUAGAGGAGUGACAAUUGUGACUCUAGGCUUUCUAAAGUCAAUACAAGGAGAUUUGGGAUUGUUAUUGCUACAUAACAAUCAAGGUAACAUCUUAAACCUAUUCUCAUGUUAAUAUGAUUACUUGUAUGCUAGAAUUAGGGUUUAUAGUCUUGGAUAACUUGCAUGUACAAUAGAGAAACCUAGAUCCAAGCAUUAGGGUUUGUAUGAGCACAUAGGAUGUUCUUAGGACCAAAACCCAUCAGUAUAGAGAUGUUCGACCUCAUUAUUGGUGUCCAUGCAUGAAGCGGGAUGUAGCUUGGUAUGUGAAGAGAUGUCUGACCUGUAGGAAGGUUAAGGCAGAGCACCAGAGGCCCCACGACAAGAUGCAACCGUUAGACAUUCCCGUGUGGAAAUGGGAAGAUAUCACUAUGGAUUUCAUUACUAAGCUCCCUAGGACCGCAUGUUGGGUUGAUUUGAUAUGGGCAACCAUGGAUCGAUUGACCAAGAGCGCCCGUUUUAUACCAAUCCAGGAGAGAAUCUCGGCUGAGAAGUUGGACGAGAUUUAUGUGCGAGAGGUAGUGGCACGUCAUGGAGUGCCAGUCUCGGUGGUGUCAGACCGAGACGUCUGGUUCACUCCAGGUUUUGGAAGUGGUUUUGCGACGAGAUGAGUACGCGUCUCCAUUUCGGUACCGCUUUCCACCCUCAGACGGACGAGCAGAGCGAGAGGACGAUUCAGACUCUCGAGGACAUGCUUCGGGCAUGUAUGCUGGAUUUCGGUGGUCGUUAGGAUACGUAUCUUCUGUUAGCGGAAUUUUCGUAUAACAACAGCUAUCACUCCAGUUUAGACCAACCUCCCUUCAAGAUUCUCUACGGCAGGAAGUGCAGGACCUUAAUUUGUUGGGGUGAGGUCGGUCAGAGAGUCAUGGGGAGUACGGAGAUAGUACUCAAGACCACGGAGCGGAUUCAACAAGUUCGGAGCAAGCUCCAGACGGCUCAGAUCCGGUAGAAGAGUUAUGCCGACAAGCGGCGUUCGGACUUGGAGUUUCAGGUGGGUGACAUGGUCCUCCUGAAAGUGUCACCCUGGAAGGGUGUUAUCAGGUUUCAGAAAUGGGGCAAGUUGGGCCCCAAGUUCAUUGGUCCAUUUAGAGUUUUGGCCCAGGUGCUUCGGGUUGCGUAUCAUCUAGACCUUCCAGCAGAGCUCAGCCAGAUCCACAACAGGUUCCACGUUUCUCAGUUGCGGAAGUGCUUGGUGGAUGAUUCAGCGGUAAUACCUCUUGAGGACAUUCAGGUUGAUGAUAUCCUGAACUACAUCGAGACACCCGUGGCUAUUCUAGAUCGCAAGACGAAGGAGCUGAGGAACAAGAGGGUAGAGUUAUAAAAGGUGCAGUGGCAGCACCGAAAGGGUUCGGAAUGGACGUGAGAGCCCAAGGAGGAAAUGAGGGAACACUACCCAGAUUUGUUUCCCAAGACAACAGACUUCGAAGACGAAGUAUAAGACAAGUGGGGAAGAAUUGUAACACCCGGUCUCAUGUACGCAUUUAAAUUAAAUUCAAAUUCCAUACUUUACACUUUGACUUGGCGAGUUGGAGGCUCAACUCGUCGAGUAGGAUCGAAUCCGGAUCGGGGGAUUUAGUGACAUACUCAGUGAGUCGGAAGUCAGACUCGGCGAGUAGGAGCUGUCUGGGUGAAACCCUAAAUUGAAGGGUUUGCACCCUAUUUAAACAUCUUAUGAGGCUUCCAACGCAGCCUCCAUCACCUCCAAAGCAUUUCACCUGAAACCCUAAUCCUCCAUAAGUGAUCUUGAGCUUUCUUGGUUGUUUUGAGUGUUUCUUGGCAUGUUUUGAAGCUAGAGCAAGAAGUGGAAGAUAGAAGACCCAAUGGAGAAGGAGUAGAUCUAGAAGCUACACCUCAUUUGCCAUCUUCUCUGGUAAUCAAGCUUACAACUUGGUCUUCUUCUUCUUAGAUCUAUUUUAUCCCCAUAUUAAGAGGGUUUUGGCUCAAAACCUUGGUCCUUGAUGGUUGGGACGUCCCAAGUGGUUCAUAUCUCAGAUCUAGGUUCUAGGGAGGAGUACAUGGCAUAAAGAUGCAAGCUUUAUGGCCAUGAUAUCCCCAUGCAUCCUAUAGACCUCAUUUUGUGUCCUUUGAGCUAAAAGUCCCAUGCAUGUACGUAAAGUUCAUAACUUUACGAUUUAUAUCGUCUUAAGGAGUCCAGAUCCACCUUUUGGAUGAGAGUUGUACAUCAGAAGUCGAGUAAUAGAUUUGGACAAUGGUCGACUCGGCGAGUCGUUCUUAGUACUCGGUGAGUCCAAGGCAAUCUCCCAACCCAUGAAGACGGACUCGGCGAGUUGUUCAUACAACUCGGCGAGUCACAAACUAGUAUCACUUAUGAUGAAGAUGAACUCGACGAGUUCAAGGUCGAACUCGGCGAGUUAGUUGAAGAUUGUCCCGAUAUCAGUUGAAGGAGAACUCGCCGAGUUCUUGCUAGACUCGACGAGUAGAGUCGGGUUGGGGGUAAGGGAAAGAAUAGGGACUCGACGAGUUGGCGGACCAACUCGGCGAUUCGAGUCAACUGGAUGUUGACUUUGACCAAGAUGAUUGACUUUGGCCAAGGGUAAAUGGACAUUUUACCCUAAGAUUAGUAUCAGUUUUUGACUAAGUGUCUUUUUGGAAUUUAUAGCCGGAGAGUCGCCGGAGCAGCAGACAUGGAUUCAUCACCGAGAUUUGUAGCAGUCAGUCACACGAGGUGAGUUUCCCUCCAGUAGGAACGAGUCUAAGGCACCAAGGCCGACCCGUUUAAGUAGUAGAGUAUAUCGGGGUGAGCCCGAUGCCAGGGUUAGCCUGAUGCAAUUUAUUGUUGGAUUAGCCUUAUGCUUUAUAAAAAUCAGAGUACCUCUUUUAAUAAAAAUGUUGCGGAAUUUGUUCCCAGAAAAGCAUGUUAAAUACGUUAUCAAAACCUUUCCGAAGAAAAGUAUUUUUAUUCAUUUUAAACCAUUUGGGAUGUCAUCGUCAAUACAUAAACAUAAGCAUAAACAAAACUUACAUUCAUUUACACUAGUGAUAUACACCUCUUUAAUCUCUCAGUGUAAUGUAACUUCGUAUCGGCACCUGUGAUUCAAAUAAGCUUGAGUGGGUCAGGUUGGAAGCCAUGGUGAGUACAUAGGGUUUUCAACCCACAAUAAUAUAAUUAUUAUCUUUAAAAAUCAAACAAUCAACCCAAUUACCCAUCCCCAUUAUCUUUUUUUACUCUUAAGGAUCUACCCUAAGAAUAAGCUAUUCCUCCUUCAUUCAUUCCUAAGGAUCAUCCUAAGGAAUCGGUGCGCAGUGCAUCGUUGCCACGGUUUACACAACGGGCACUAAUUAUGCAUAGUCGUUAGGGUUUAGGCAUCAAGUCUGCAUGAUCACCAGGGUUUAGGCAUCAAGUUUGCAUGAUCGCCAGGGUUUAGGUGUCACACCCCAAAACCGGAACGGGGGAAACGUUCUGGGGUGGAUGACGUCAUGUCAA